rnacentral:lncRNA from 1 species
UUUUAUCAUCAUGAAAUUCCUUAAUUCCAUCUUAGUAGUUUCACCCUAACAUUUGUUUGCUCUUCUGGUUGUUGUGGUGGUAAGUAUUGAAUAUGGAGGAAAAAAAUUCAAUUAUGUCCGGUAAGUUCUCUCUUAAAAUAUAGUGCAUUGAGACCCGCUCACUAUAAUUUGUUUUCAAUGAAGAAAGUUAUAGAUUGCUUUGCUGUUGGCCUUUUCGGCUGGUACCAAGGUGAUGAGAUUGAGGAGAUUUACUUUGUUGAAAUUUUUGGAUGCUGAUUUAAUUGGAGCCUUAUGUCUGUCGUGCUUAUAUCGGGUUCCAUUUUUCCUAAUUUACUUGUUCUCUUGAGACCUUCUAGAUAAUGUUGACUGUAGUUUAGCUUGUUUGUGAUUCCUUGAUGUGUGCAAGCACUUUUGCUCUUUGUUGCUCUCAUUUUUGUUGAAGUUUCCAUAUCCAAAACUUUGUCAGACACAUGAAUAUGAGGAUAUGACCUCCAAAUACAUGGAGAAGCUUAUAAAACUCUCUGACAAUACCCGUGUAGGGUAUAAGUCCUUGCUUCUUUUAAUCAUAGUCCACUUCCAACCUUUGUGCAUGAGUAGUUAUGCUGCAGGUUUUUGUUGCUAGUCAGACUGCUAGUUCAGGCAUAUUCAGUUAGUAACAGUUAAUUGGUGGCUUUAGAUUUGUGAUAUCAUUAUUAUUAUUUACUGGAAUAAUGCUAGGAUGAUGCUCAAGGGGCAAAUGCCAAGGUGCCUCUUUGUCUUUUCUGGAUAAAUGCUUAGAGAAGAUGAGCACUAAAGAAAGUCGGGUUUUCCAUUAUGGACAAUGUUUAGCUUUUCUAUAUUUUUAUGUUUCCUCAAACUGCUGCAGAUUGAUAUCCAUUUAGUUGUAUACUUGAUCAAAAUGUAGGAGAAAUUAGAAAACGCCAUAUAGUUUUUCUGAAAUACUUAGUGCUCAUGGUUUCUUCAUGAAGCUUAUGUAUUUCUGCAAAUAGUAAUUCUCAAGUAUUUUUAUUGCACUCUGAGAGUUUCAAUAGCCUGCCACAUUGAUUGCAUUAAGAAGUGUGUAUCCUGUGGCAGGGAAGAUCUUGUAUUUCUUUUUAUCUAUGUUGCUCGGUGUGAGUGUCAUUUAUGGGUAUGCAUGCGACAUGGUAUGGUUAGAUUUUUCUAAGUUUUUUCAUGUAUUUGGAGGAUUCUUGGAAAUUAUAUCUCCAUAUCCAUGUGUUGUACACAAGUUUUAGACACGGGUACUUCAAUAAAUAUGAAGAGUCUAGCAAACAUAGCUUUUUAAUUGCUAAUAAUUGUGUAACGACCUAUAUUACUCUGACUCUUCAUUUUUCUUCAAGUACUUAUAUCUGAUGCUUGUGUCUGAGACAUACUCGGACAUCAGGGAGAUGACCUUCCAAAUACAUAGAGAAGCUUAGAAAUAAAAUUACACCAAAGGGAUAGGCCAGCAAGGAGGUUUUACAUAAGCACACCAAAUCUCAUUAAUGGUCCAAUUACAAUGUUGUUUAGUUGCAUGAGGUACCAUUAGUAGUAAGGUUGGCAUCUUGCCUCUCACUGAUAAAUAUAUUCACUAAAUUGUUGAUUUUUGCUUGCUUAGAUCAUUCAUUGUAGAAUUUAUAACUGCUAGCAGCAUAUGGGAGCCGCCUUCUCAUCUCUCUGAAACAACCCUUCUCUCUCAAUUUAACUGGUGCAGAGGGGUAAAGAUUUGGUCCUCAGCAGUGGAGAUGUCAACUUGUUUAUCUAGGGUAGAUUAAUAUCGAAGUUGAUCUAUGGCAGAAAUUUUAGUGGUUGAAUAUAAAGAUAUCUAAAAAUAAGAGGAAAGGAAUUUUGAACAAAUGAUAACCGUAGAAUUGUUGGAAGUGCCACCAUAGGAUAAAGAAAUGGAUAUUUCCUUUUAGUAGUGAAGGGGAUCCUUUUCUGGCACACAGAUGUGUACAAGUCAAAUUCUAUUGUUGUCUUUAUGGUUAAGAAUCUCUUUCUUUCAUUACAUUGCUUUUAACCUGUUUGUUGUGAUUCACAAACUUGUCUUUUUCUCUGAUAAGUUACUCUUUGUUUUUUGCUUCUAUAAUAUAUUUUCGUUGUGAUCACCUUGAAGUUUGAAAUCUGGAUUGCUGUAUGUUUGUCAUUUGCUUGUGCUCGUCAUUACCAGGCAGUAUGAUAAAUUUGUUUCUCAUCUGUUUCACAACUAUGUUUUCUUUAUCUAGUGCAUUUCAUGCAUAUAGUUGAUUUGCUGCAUGAGUACAUGUCAUUGUGUUUCUGGUUUGUUGUCUGCCAGUGACAGUGGGUUCUUGAUGGCUCAUUUAUUUAAUUGAUCCCAAUAAGUGAGCCUGUCUGUUACUUGUUUUCACUAGUACAAUGCGAGUGUUUUGCAUCUUGUCAGCAGCCACUGUGAAGAGCAAAAACUUUUCAAUGGGUCUUAUAUUGUUUUAAAAAUCUACUGAGGAAUCUUUAUCAUGAUUCUGAAUAUCUUGCAAAAAUGUAUCAACAAAUCAACCCCUGGGCUAGUGAUAUUCUCAAUGAGCUUCACCAUGCACUUCAAAGUUUCAAUGAAUCAACAUUUUUCGAAAUAUUUCAUUUUACUAUUAAUGUUUGUGCUUUCAGACCUUGGGUUUGGAAGUGGCAAGUGCAAGUCCAUGUAUGGUAGAGAAGGUCAUCUCGGUAUUACAGUGGUCAAGUUUGCCAGUGAUCAGUCAGGCCUGAUCGAUGCUGUCAGGCUCGCUGAAUACUUUGAGAAGGAAAACCGUGGUCGCAAGGCUUGGUCCCAUCUACAGCCCUUGACUUUAGGGAAGGAUGACGAUGAUAAAAAUCCCAAUCUUGUGAAGGUGGAUGAGAGGAAUGGAGAAAAAAAGAGGAUCUUUUAUGGCUACCUCGGAACCGUUGCUGAUCUGGACAAGGUUGAUUUUGACAUGCGGAACAAGGUUGUGAUUGAGAGUAGGAGAGAGCAUAAAGGACCCAGGUAGUUGCUUCUGGCUUAACAUUGCAAUGGUACUAGGAUGUUUUCUCAAUUAUAGUUAUAUUAGAUUUUGGGAAUAACUGGUACAUGGAUAUUUUACGGUACCAUUUCUUGGUAUUCGAAAGUGGUUUUCAAGUGUCUCUCGUUUAAUCGAUGAAAUUAUUUGUCAUCAAAUUAGCUGCCCCUCUUGUCGAAAAUGUAAUUAUAUACCUCGUUGAUACAAGGAUUGUCUGGUUACAUCUAUUGUAUGCUAUUGGUAUUUUUCAGUUAUUCUAGUAGUUUUAUCUUUAAAGAAAAAGGUAUCAAAGAAGGAAGAAUAGUUUGGUUAUAAAGCCAUUGUCCAGUUCUUGAACUAGUCUACAUGGGAUUGUUUUUCGUGACAUAUUUGAUGGCUCCAGAGAAAAUUUUAUUUAGAUAUGUUAAAGAGGUUUUAUGAGCAAAUCGGCUUAUGUUUAUGUUUUGAUAUUCAACAUUAGUCGUACGGUAUUUUUUUUUUUUGGUAAUAGUUACAAGCAGGAAAGGCAGUAAAGAAACAAUUUGUGAGGAGCAAGUCAAACAGAAAUUAAUUCCUAAUGAGAUGCAGUCUCCAGGAUGUGAGAAAACAAUGUUGGAUAUUAGGUGUCUUAAGCUUCUUCAGGUCUUCGAAGAUGAGUAAAAAUGCAUUUAUGGCAAAUGACGUUUUCAGUUUUGGGCAAGUAUAAUAAAAGCAGCACCAAAUACCAUUUUGCCUUGCUUUCAACCAAGAGAACUGCCAAACCAUACAGCUUGAGAGGGGACAGAGCAUGAAAAGAUGUUCUGGGGUUUCAUCCUUAUCACUGCAAAAAGGGAAGGGGAAUAUCAGUGAUUUAUACCCUUUUCGCUAUUAUGGAUGAACAAGGUUAAUCCAUUGAAGCAAAUCUUCCAUAAAUUUUGAAAUGAGUUCCAUUUCCUAAUAGAAAAUCAGAAGUUUGUUGGCCAAGUAGGAUGUUGAGCUGGACCUUCAAGAGUAAGAAGGUUAUACCUAGUUUUGAUUCUCCUAUUACAUAAUCAUACAUCAAGAAAUACGAAAACGAUCUGAAUUUUAAUCAAGAGAAGACUUGCUUUUUUGUUUAGUUGCUAUUUAUAUAACUUGAUUAACGAGUCUCAGUUAAGCUGAACUCUUGAAGUACUACUGCUAACAACAAUUAUUUUGUGGCUAACAACUCAUUAGUUAUCUUUACUAGAAUCUGUCUUAACUCUUAACAAUUUAGCACGCGAUUCAUAUAGGAUAAUAAUUCUUGAAAACUCAUCGAUUUGUAAGUUGACUCGUACAAGAUCUCAGAUCCAUUGUUUUAGGGAUUAAGUCUAAUUGUAGAAAAAUUUCCUCAGAACUAGAAUAUUUUUGUCGUCACCAACUUGCCAGCGAGUUCCUUCCUUGGAGUGUACUUUGGAACAAUAGUUUUAUUAAUUAAGGAAUUUCUUCUUAUCUUUUAAAAUCCGCCAUGGGAAGCAGGUCUAGAUUAAAAGAGUCACUAGCCCUGAUUCCAAUGGUUUGCAUAAACUCCCAAUUUAUGAAGUGACAUUUCCUUGCUCAUUCCAUCAAAGCUUUUGGUAGUCUUAACCAAAGAAAAGCAAAAGGCCUUCGGGGCAUUAAAACAUGACAUUUGAAAGAGUGGAAGGCCAGAGAGGGUAUACUUAACGAGAGUCAACCUUCCAUCGUGAUAAAGUAAUUUUGAAGCAGAAUAGGCUUAAAAAAUUGAUUUCUUUUAGACGUCAAAACCAAUAUAAUCGACCCUAAAAUCAGCAAACUAUUUUGUUAAGGAUUUGAAAACUAUUUCACUUUUGAGUGUUCACGUCUAGUUCAGACCCAUUGUCCUUCGCUUUCAUAAAGAAUUCCAUAAUGUUCUUUGAUCAGGGUGCUGGUUUUCUGUUGAGAAUUCAUCAAAUUUGAAUUAGCGGAUUGUUGAGCUAAUCUGACUUGGUCUUCGAGCAAAUCCUCUAAAUUUGUCAUAAUCUUUUUGGCAGUACGAAAAUUCUCGUGUUGUUUUUGCAACACACUACUCAUGCUCGUUAACAUAUAACAUCGAACAAUCGAGUCAGAAUCUCUCCAGCGAUUUCUCGCUUUGGGUUGAGCUUCAUGAGGGCACGUUUUAUCAAGAACGAAUUUGUGUUUCUCACAGUUGAUAACUAUUAGCAAGUUUCGUUUUCAUUCUCGAAAGUUAUCCCAAUUUAAUUUAUUCUCAAUAAGAAUACUAAUAAGAGAAGUAGGAGACAUAUUUGGAUUGAAAAAAAAAAUAAAGAUUCACUAAUUACUAUCUUUGUAUUAAGCAAAUAUUUUUCAUUUCAACAUGUCAAGAAUGCAGUAUAAUGCAUGCGUCUUGUAUUAAAAACUUGAAAAAAUAUUUUUUCGUUGCUACGAUUAUUCUCACACCCAUCAACCAUGCUGCAUUGGGGUCUCAUGAUUUACUAGCAAGAAUAUGAAUUACAUCCAAUCAGUUCGUGAAUCUUAAUUCUCAAGACUCUACACGAACUAAUGAUCAUUUAACGUUUGGUCAUCAUCUCUAUCUUAAAUAUUAUUUUUUGGGAAACAAUUUAAUAAAAGAUGAUCUUGAGUGUGUAAUUAUUGAUUCAACACUCAUCAUGAACAUGUUCUCACAUUGUGAGUCAUUUUGAGACAAUCUCUCUGAAAGUCAAGCAUGAUUAGUUGUCCUUAAAAAGAAAUCUCAUUAGUGAACCCACAUGACAAAGUAUACCUUGGGGUGUAGCCAAGGUAGGAAUCAGCUCGAAGCUUUUUCAUGCUAUCACUUAAGGACCAUCAAUGGAGGUCGUAGGUCUUGUUCAAUGACCUUCUCCCACUCAAUAUUUUAAAAACAUGCGAGAUUUUUUAUCCCAAAUUUCAAGAAUGAUCAUAUAAUAGUCCUAGUCACAUUCUUACCUAAUCUAAAUGACAUGCUUCCAAUAUAUGCAUGACAUUCUAUGACAAUUUUAUAAUAUUCACAUCCAUUCACAAUAAUCAAUCAAUCAUAAAAACAAACAAUUUUGAUUCUCCACAUUUUUUCUUUUAAGGGAAAAACCGAAGAAGUGAAUGUGAACCAUGCACCAGGUAGGGUCCCAGGAAAGGGAUGUGAGUCAAAUUUGACCUCUUAAAAAUCAAACCUUUCCUAACCAGAGCCAAUCCUAAACAUGCAUAUUCUAAUUACCAUACUUCUCAUAGUUAUCGAAUAACCUAAAGAAGCGAAUGAAACAAUACAGCACAUGUAUUUUCUCAUUACCACACUUCUUAUUUUUUAAACGAUCAACUGUGGAUCAUCUCAUAUAUAUACCACAAUUAUAAUAUUAUAAACAAUUAUAAAACAGAUAUAUAAUGAGAUAGCUAAUUAAAACAAAAUUGUCAGUCAAUGUUUCCAUGGUUCUAUUUCUAGAAAAUAAAAUUGUAAGAGCCCAUUUUUGCCGGGCCCGAGCCCAAGUAUUAAAACCAAAAUAUAAAAAAUAUAUAUAUAAUAAUAAAAAAUAAGUAAUGUCCAUUUACAGCUAAAACCCGCUAAGGCCAAUACCAGCCCAAUGACCCAAAACCCAAUUUUCUAAACCCAAAUUAACAGCCCAACAUCAAAACCCAACCUAGCCCCAGACUUUCCCAGACAUCAGAAACCCUAGGCAGCAACAUUCGGCCUAAGCCACCGCGGUAGCCUCGCAACGCGCUGCCUUCGGCUUUCCUCUUUACGCGCGCCACGCCACCACUUUCGUACUCCAGUACCUGCAGCAAACAACAAAAAAAGCAACAAAAGAUGGACGAAAAGAGGGGCAACAAUGACAACAAAAAUACAGUGAAUAGGAUAGAGAAAAAGAUAAAAAAAUUCUCUGUAAUUUUUGGCUAUAAAAAGCCGAUUUUUAAUCUGUAAUGGAGGUUAUGCACACACAGAGAUUGAAUACAAAAAGAAAUCAAAAACAAAAUUUCAGAGAAGUAGAGUUUUGGAGGUGAUUUCAAAUCUGACUUUGGUUUGGGGGCUGUUUUCUUUUUAAUCUUUCUUCGUUUUUCUUUGCUUUUUUUACUGCGUUGUUCAUUAAGAGUGUAAAACGAAAGGCAAAGAAAGAGGGGGAACUUACCUGGUCGCCGGAGUCGUCAAUCUGGUGCUCUCUCCGUCGAAAUCGGAGCAUGGGCAGAGGCUUGGCGGCGGUGUGAAGAACGGGUUAAAAAAACCCUAGCAGAGCCACUGCUUUCUUUUUAGAAAGGAGAACAGAAUGGUUUCCUUUUUUUUCUUUCUUUUUGUUUUGUUUAUUUUAAAGAAAGACAAAACGGCGUCGUUUAGGUGGCCAUGACCCGUGCGGUGACCUAACCCAGAGGGGAGGACCUGCGUUCUGGCCUUAAAUGGUCCAUUUGCGCAAUUGGUCCCUCGGUUUUCAAAAGAGUGCUUAAAUCAACUUUUAUUCCCUUUAAAUUUAGCCACACGCUUUGUUUUUGUUUCAAAUCAGUCCCCAUUGCUGCGCAGCGUUUUAGGGAGGCGGAUUAUUUCCAUUUUGGCCCCCUCAUUUAAUACACGCGUUGCAAAUUAGUCCUCUGUUUGGUUAAUUUCAUUUAUUGGCUUUUUCUUUUUGUAUUUUGUUUUUUUUUGUGUUUUUUUAAUUAUUAUUAUUAUUAUUAUUAUUAUUAUUCCUAUAUAUUCAUUCACAUGCACUAUUUUUAUAUAAUAUAUAUAUAUAUAUGCAUUUUCUUUUUUAUAUAGUAUACACGCAUUGCUUCUUACGUAAUAUAUAUAUAUAUAUAUAUAUAUAUAUAUAUAUAUGCAAUUUUUUUUUGUUUUGUAUCCACCUACCUAUAUACAUAUUUUUUACAUAUGUUUUUUUUCUUUACUUUUGUUUCCUAACUUCAAUAUAUAUAUAUAUAUAUAUAUAUAUAUAUACUUUUAUAUUUUAGUUUAAAAAAUCUUUUUUACUUUUGUACAUAUGUAUACGUAUGUUUCUUUCUUCUUUUCUUUAUAAUUUUUUUUACAAACAUAUAUAUAUGUAUACAUACACAUUUUAGAAUACGCACGUGUUCCCAUAUUUUACAAUUCAAAAUACACAUUUUUUUAUAUUAUAUAUAUUUUUGAAUUAUCAUAAACAUUUUAUUAUUCUAUAUAUACUCCGUUAUUUAUAUACACAUUGUACAUAUAUAUAAGUUUUUAAUACAUAUACGUGUUUUCAUGAUUUACCAAUACAUAUGUACUUAUAUAUUUUUUAUUUUUGUAAAUAUAUACACAUACAAAUUUUUAUAUGUUUAUUUUAUUUUACGAUUUUCAUGUACAUAUAUACAUGCAUUUUUUUAUUUUGUUUUUUUGAUAUAUUCCAUUCCUUCCUUUUUUACAUGUAUACUUGUAGAUGUGUGUUAAAUAUAUGCAUACACAUAUUUACAAGUUUACUUGUAUCUUGUGCUUAUAUUUUGUAAAUACAUAUACAUAUACAAUUUAAAUUAAAGUAUUUGUUUCAAUGUUAUACAUUAACUUUUCUAGCAUAUCUUUCAGAAAGUAUAUAUUUUGGUUUCGUCAAAACAUUAAAAUCAUCGUAUUUUAUAAAUUUUCGAAAUAUUUGGCAUUCAUGAUUCUCGAGGAAGAUCGUGUCCUAACUUACUGGAUUGCGAUUAUUUUUCGAUGAAUUUAGAAAGCCAAGUAUUCAUUUUGCAGUGAAUUCACAAAUUUCAAAUAAAAACCCAUUCUUGGGAAUUCGACACGUUGUGUCCUAACGCAUUGGAUAUGGCAUGUUAUUUUCUCGAGACGAGGAUUUUAAAAAUAAAUGCAAUGUUCGAUAUUUAGGAAUUUUGUGAAAUCGAACCCUAACUUACUGGGUUUUGAUUUUUCUCAUUUGACCCAAAUAAUCAGAUAUCCUUCUCAAAAUGCAUAGGUUUUAAAAAUCAAAGAAUAAGCUUAAUUUUGAGGAUUUGAAAUGUUGCACUCUAACUUACUGAGUGUAACAAUUUAUUUCUUUAAAAUAAAUGAGCUUUAUCUUCCAAUUCAUUUUAUUCAAAAUAAAAGGAUCGUAUUUUAAAAUCUUUUCAAAAUUUCGACAUUAAGACAUUAAACAAUCGAUACGGUACCAAUUUUGGGCGUUACGAGGGUGUUAACCCUUCAUCGUGCGUAACCGACUCCCGAACCUGUUUUUCUCAAAAUUCGCAGACCUAAAAUUAUUUUCAAGGUGAUCCGAUCACACCACAAUAAAAGAUCGGUGGCGACUCCAAUUUUCAUUUUUAAUAAGUCAAUAACUAAAAUUUUUGAUUUAACAUGAAAAUGGUUUCGACAAAAAUUACAUAAUUUUUUGCUACAAGACGUUCCUUGAGUUUUUAACCGCUAUCAUAUCUUUUCCUCGUCAUGGACUCCUUUUGGAAAAGUUACAUUUAAGUCUUAUGUCUGUUUCUGGAUUACAAGAAUUCUAUGAAUUUUAAAAAAAUAGCCCUACGUGGAGAUGAUAGUCCAUGGUCUAUUUCCUAAGAAGCACAACCUUGGCAAUAAAAAAUAAUUAUAUAACAAAUAUAUAAUAUCAUAUCCAUUCUUGUAUAUAAAUCAAAACAUGCAUAAGAUCUAAAGAAUGUCACUUUCUAUGUAGUCAAAUCAUUCAAGAAGAGAAAUUUAUUUUGAUUAUUGUAUACUCUAAUUUAUAUAGGUUUUUUAGCAGUUUAUAACACCUUUUAACUAAAAAAUAAUAUUAAUUUUGAGUAUUUUUUAAUUAAUUAGGUAAAUUUUGUUUAUAUUCUGAUGAUGGGCAUGAAUUUAUAAAAAAUGCAAACAUGUGCUUUAUUGUAUUAAUUUUGUGCAUAAAUUAAAUUAUUUAAUGUUAUUUAUUAAUGUGUUAUAUUUUAUUAUGAUGGGAACCAUGAAGUUGAUAUAAUAUGAAGCUUAUUAUAACUCUUGCUUGGACAUGAGUAAUCCUACUCUAUUUGGACAGCAAAAUUAUGCAAUGGUCAUGGAGAUGUUACUUUGACCCAGUUAAAAAUGAUGUUACAUGGUGGACAAGUUUAAUUAUUUAAUGGGUCACAAAAUCGUCCAAAUAAGGGGAAGACAAGCCCAAUUUUACACAAGCAUGUUGGCUGCCCAAAAAUUAGUUUUGGGAUAUUUAUUGGAGAUCCCUACAGUUGAAAUUAAAUCAGAAAAGAGCCCAUGAAGUUUGCCUUUGAAAUUGUCAAACCCUUGCUUGAUUCUAGCAUGAUUUCAUGCUUGGAUCAAGCAAGCAUCAUCCACUCUUUUCCACAAUGUGUGGCCGACCAAGGAAAUGAGUAAAUGGGGGGUAUUUUUCACUAUUUUUAGUAAACUCUCCCACCAACCUCAAGUAUAAAUACCCACUCCCAUAUCACAUAUCUGUCAUCCCUUACUCAAUCCCUUAUCCCUCAUUUCAUAUUAUUCUUCUAUUCUCUCAUUUCCUCUCUUUAUUCUCACGUAUAGAAUCUCAUAGUUCUUUCUUUUCUUAGCCAGCAAAACCUUGAUAAGACCAUCUCUUGGCCGACCACAUUGAGGAGCCAUUAGCAAAGGAGCAGCAUAAGGAUUGGAGGAAAACAUUUUCAAUAAUAGUUCGCAAGACUGCUGAUUCAACAUAGUUUAUUCUUUCUUACUUUGUUACUUUGAUUUUAAUCAUGUUUGCAAUGUGCUAUGCUAUCUUGUCAUCAACAAUGGUAACUUAAAUUUGUUUAGCUAGGAUGAUUGCAUUAAUUCAACAAAAUUUGUUUAAAACAUGCUUAUAGUGUUUGUGCCUCAGUCGAUUAUGUUUUCAAUUAAACUCAAGUAUGUAUUUCAUUCAUACAUGAUUGGAUGUAUUAGAAUUAGCUGAGCGAUCCUAACCAGACGACGACUAAUGGACACAAUAGUAGUUGAAAAGUGCAUGCUUAAUUUAAAUCCUAACCUGUCUAAAUUGAAGGUUCUUAAUAACUUUAACGAGCUCUAUUAUCUUGCAUAGUUUUUAGGUUUAUGUGAUUAAAUUGUUUCAAAACCUAACCCGUCCUAUUACUUCACAUGAAUUCUAAGAAACCUUUAGUUUAAUAUGAUCAGUAAAAUGCAUGUUUGACUAAGUAAAAGAUUUCGAAAGGACUUAAUUUGGUUUCAAGACUCAUGAAAGAUUGAGUUGCCAUGGAAUCUUUUCCGAACACUGUUAAGCAUGAGAAAAAUGAAUUAAGUUGAAUGAUGUAAUUAUCCUAGCCUAUUCACGUUAUUUGUUAUUGAAUUUUGUGUUUUUGUUGCUAAACUUAUUUCAUAAAUUUCACUUCAUACUUUGCAUUUAGAUUAAAAUUACAUUAGGCAUCAUCUUACAUUUAGUAAUUAUUUUUACAUCACACGACUCAAAAAUAUUGUGUUUUUAUCACCAAAUUAUUAACUCUAAUUUUACAAUUAAUUGAUUAACAUGUACAAUCCCUGUGGUGACGAUAACUCUUUUACGUACUUAUUACUUGAUAACGACUGUGUACACUUGCACAAACCUACGCGAUACAAUUAUCUAUUUAUACUUAUAGAUAGAACACAACCUGGAUCUGAUACCAAUUGUUGGAAAAAAAUGGUUUAAAAAAUGCAUCGGAAAAUAAAUUUAGGGAAAAUAGAGUUUUAAUUUUUUUUCCAAAACAAGAUGUUAGUCGUGAUAUCUAAAGUAAUAAACACUUAAUCAAAAUUGUACCUUUUCGAUUCGUCUAGGAUGAGUGCUUCGACUGAGUAGUCUUUUCUACUAUCCUCAAGCUCAUGUCUAUCGAGUGUGGGCUUGCUUCGAAUCAGAAAAUUUUCCACAAAAAUUACCGAUGCGGUAAUUUUGUAAUUUUUCUAAAUUUUUGGGUCAAGUUGUAUAUCAGAAAAAUAAUUCUAGAAAUUUUCCGAAAUAAUCUCUUUAGAGAAUUUUUCUCUCUAUAACUUUCUCUUGAACUCAAGUGUGUAUAAAAUAAUGACCCAAGACUCUCUUUAUAUAAGGAGAAUUUAGAGAGUUCAACUAUGAUUAAACUUAAUCAUUUUAAUAUUAAAUUAAUAUAAUAUUUAUCGAGAUAAAUAUUAGAUAAAAUUUAAUAUUAAAUCUUAUUAAAAUAAAUUUAAUAUUAAGAUAAUUACUUUAAUAUAAAAUUAAUAAAAUAUUAUUAAGAUAAGUAUUAAAUUAAAUUUAAUAUUAAACUAUUAAAAUAAUACUACUUUUGGCAUAGUUAAUUUGAAAUCAAAUUCUCUGGUAGAGUCCCAGUAGGAGUGUAACUCUUCCACUGCUCAACCAAUGAAAACCAACUACCGCCGGCCACCAGGACGCCGCCGUCACAGCUGCCGGCACUAUCGUGUCCGAUGGUGCAGGUGUGACACCCUUACGACGUCCAGAGCUGGUUCGGCUACUGCAGGUUCGAUCCGGGUUAGUGACAACUCGACCUAUCCUGUCUAGCAACAGGUUGGACUGUCGACCUGGUUUCACAUACCGGGCUCGAUUCGACCGGUUUUUGGGUUUUGGUCUUGAUUUUUGAGCUCUUGGGCCCAAUUUACGAUCUUAGGUCCAAUUUUGAAGUUCAAUUACCCAUUGGGCCAAUUGUCUGACUUGAGAAUUAAUUUAUGAGAAUAUCAUAAUAAUUUUAAUUAAUUUGAUUAAUUUUAAUUUUACUUGAUCAAAAUUAAAUUUUUCAAAAAUCAAUUAGAUUUCCAAAUGAAUUUUUCAAGAAAAUUCUUUAAUCAAAUUCUCUAGAUGAAUAACUCUCAUGACCACCUAAUUUAAUUUCACAUCGAAUAAACUGAUUCAAUUAAAUUAUUUUCAAAGUCGUAAAAUUUUCUUCUAAUUCAAAUGUAGUCCGAUUGAGCUUUUGUUAAGCUAGUGGAGGGACCAAUCGGACAAAUAUAAUUAGGCUCUAGUAAUUGCAAUUAUGUCUAGAAGCAUCAUUCUGAUAAUUCACAAUUACUUAAUCAUGGAGUCAAUCAACAAAAAAGUACCAUGAUUGAGAACUCCUUAUUGUAUACUAUUUAGGAAAGCAAUUCAUCAACUGCUUUUUCCAUUGACCUCGUCAUGUGUGUGUUACCCUCAUAUGAUAUCUUUGAUUCCUUUGAGUUAAAUCUGUUCACUCAAUACAAUCUUAUUUUAUCUCAUUGUCACCAUUGUGUCUUCUUAAUUAUUAAUAUGAUCACUAUCAACAAAUGACUGUGAUAAAUUGCUCAUUUGAGAACAAGCAACUCGUGGCCAAAUUCCAUAUUUAUCAAUCCACACAAUGCUAACGAGAGGAUAUCAUUAACUCUUCAAUUGAGCUAUGAAUUCCACUGUUGCUAGUAAAGCCAUGCCAUACACAAGUCAUGUACCCCCAACAUACCAGUUAUGGGCUCGAUCAUCUUUACAUCAUAAGCCUCCACUUAUAUCAAAGCACAUGAGUUGAAUAUGCAUGGUAAGUGACUAACUCAAGAUUUUUGUAAAUCACACCAUGAACGUCACAAGUGAAUUAAUUCACAAACAGAUUCAGAAUUAAUUCAUCUUGGGUCCAGUCCAAUGUAUCAUUCUACCAAUGAAUACAUCUAUGCCUCUAUCCUUGAAGUCAAUUGCUUUGAUAGCCAAGACUAGCCAUCUCCCCAAUUGGAAUUGUAGACGACCUGAUACUCCUUCUUAGUAUUUGAAUCAUAUGCUCACUUUGAUUCUUUUACGGGAUUACAGAUUUAUUUAGAUUAUCUAUUGAAUUAAGUUAUCUUUCUCUCAAUGUAAACGUUCUUACAAUGCCACUUAUCUUCAGUUUAAACUUAGACAAUCAACGAGCUAAUAUUUAUUUGUCACAAUUUCGCUAUGCAUGCAAAAUAUAAAAGACAGAAAUACAAAAGACAUAAUGGUGAAAUGUGAAAUUAACUUUAUUUAUUUAUUCAUCAUUCAAAUAAAUAGAAAACAGUUACAUGUUUACUACAAUAUGGGCAACAUGGAGUUCAAGCUCGUCGCGACAACCAUCGCUUGACUUCAAGGUUAUCUUUUCAGGCAUCGUCUAAGAAUUCAUACUUAUUAACAUAUUAAGUCUAGCAUAUGUCUAUGUCAACAACUUACUAUUUUUAAUAAACAAAAGAAACAAAUUAUAUGAGAUAACAAUAAUAUUUCUAUAUUGAAAAAGUUUAAUCACAUAAAUCCUAGGGUUAUGCAAGGUAAUAAGGUUUUUUCGAGUUAUUACAAAUUUCGAUCUAAUUUUCUCAAAUAUAGAUCAAACAUGCACCAUUCAGAUAUUGUGUCAAUUAAUUACAAUCCAGUUCUAAUUUAAUAAUUAAUUCAAUUGCAUCCCUACAUUUAUAAUGCAUGAAUAACAUAUGCAUGAUUUUAUCUGAAUGAAUUAGCAACCAAGGCACAUAACAUCAUUAACAGAAUUAAAUAAUCUAAGUUAUGGAAUUUAAAUCAUUCUAACACUGAAAGAAUUAAGCAACCAUGAUUAUAUUAAAAACAUAAAACUCAGUUACAAUCAUGUUUCUUGAAUUGAACAAAAAAUAAAAGAGUAAAGGGAAAAAAAAAGCAAGCUAUUUCUGGUGGUUCUCUGCAACACAGCUCAUGUUGCUCCUCUUUUGUUCUUCAUUUCUUUUUGUGACAACCAAGCUGAAUUGCUUCUAAAAUGGCUACAUGGGUCUACUCUCAAAGCCUUGUUAAACUCUAUUAAGGAAUGGAAAAUGGAAAAGAGAGAAAAAAAAGAAGAGAAGAUGAAUGAGGGAUGAAUGAAAUGGGUGAAUGGCUAGGGGUAUUUAUACUUGUGAGGAGCCUUUUGAGUUUACUAAAAAUAGCAUGUCAUUCCCCCUUUUUUCUCUCAUGCAUGGCUGAGCCCUUGAUUUGAGGAUGACUUCGCUAAAUUUAGCUAGUCAAAGCUUGAUUCAUGGGAAGGAAUUGAACGGUCACAUGAGGAAGUUGUUGUGGCUGAUUUUUAAAUUUUAAUAAGUUUUGUGUGCCUACUUUAAUUAUUUUAUGGACAAUCGGGCUUCUAUAGCCAAAUUGUGCUAUUUUCCUCUCUUAGUGGACGGUUUGAGCUUUAAAUUAAGCAGCAAGCUUGUCCACUAUAAUUACGAGUUGGGUCAAACUGACUUUGGAAGUCCAAUAAAUAAUUUUAGGAUUCCCCAUGUAGGUCAACCAUCACCCCACAUAUGCGUGACCUUUGCUGCAGGAAAUGCUAUAACAUCGAACAUCAAACAGGUGAGCUUCAAGACUAACUUUUCUCUUAUUGCACCAAACCGCGUAAAAUCAUCAAAAAUAUGUCACAUUAGCAUGUAAAUAAGCAAGAUUACAAAAUUAUCUUUAAUUUUUUCCUACUUUACAAAUUUGUAAUAAAACUACAAUAUUUUCUAUCAAAAUACUCAGAAAUUACAUGAAUUAUUAAUUAGAAGGUUCUGAAAAUGUUUAUAUAAUUUCGAGUGAUCACACCACCAAACUUAAUUCAUUUCUUGUCCCGAGUAAUGCCAAAUUAUAUUAGAACUCAAGGGGUUACUUUUGCAAAAAUCCCUUCAAAUGAAAUCAAUCCUUCCUAUAGUCAUGUGUUUAGCAAAAUUGUGCUAAAAAAGAAAAAGUUUGGAAACAUGCUACUUGAGUACUUAUAUCAUUCAAUUAUUUUCAAAGAUUAAUAUUCUAACAAAAAUAUGUACUAAAUAUCUUCCCUUAACAAAUGUGUGCUAAGUACUUCCCAAUCAAAAUUUAUUUCCCUUGAUUAAACUAUGUAGCAAUAUUAAAGUUUAAUGAUGGCUUCAUAUGUUGAACUUAGUAAUUUCUAUCCACUAAUGUAGUCGACACAUAAAUUUAAAUCAAUAGGUCUUUAAUAUGAUUGUAACGUGGCUUGGGUCAAGGUAGGAAAAAAGAUAAAAAAAUUUAGGCUAAAACCAUAGACUCAGUUUACCACCUUCCAAAUACAAUUAUCCCCAAGAAAACAAACUCUUUUGAGUUUGAGUACAUAUGCUCAUUGUACAUCUUUUUUCAACAAUUGGAUUUUUUAAGCAAUCACUGAUGCUUUCUUGAGCAUACAAAUCCACAUUUUGAACAUUCCAGUACUUCUCUCUAACUCCUCUAAAUUUAAUCGCAAAAUUAUUCUAGAUGCGUUGAGUCUAAGAUUUGGGACAAGUAAAGAAUAAUUUAAAUAAAUAAAUGACUUAUUAAUGUAAGGUUCAAAAGAAAAAUCAGACUAUAUAGCUCAAAGCAAGGUUUAAAGGAUAAAUAUUUACUAAGGUUGACUUGAAAGACUCGAACGGUCCAACAAAAAUUUUCCUAAAUCACUUGCAAAUUACGAUGCCUCUUAGGAUUUCACCUCAAGGAAAUUACUAAGUUAAUUCUGAAGACUUAAGCUAUCAUGCAUACUUAGUUUUUCUAAGGAGUUCAAAAUUUUCAUGGUUUGACUUAUAUACAAUAACUAGGUUCAACAUUUUUUUGUCAUAAUUAAGCUAGCAUAAAAAUAAUUGAAAUAAUAAAAUUUUGUUCAUACUAAAGCUAACAUAUUUAAGCAAAAAUUAAAAUUUUUGAAUGGUAUUCUACUUAAACAUAACUUGAUGGAAAAAAUUAAAUUUCGUCAAAAAAUUUAGAAAAAUUCUAAUUUAUGGCCUUUUGUCAAAUAUCUCAGAAAAAUUCUAAUAUUUGGUCCCCCGCACUUAAAGAGAAACAACGUCCUCAUUGUUUAAAACAUAAAAUAGAAGGGGCAAAAAUCAAAGAAGUCAAUGUGAACUGUGCACUAUGUAGGGUCCCAAGAAAGGGAGGUGAGUCAAUUUUGACUAAAAUACAAAAUAUUUCGUUGACAGAGCCAAUCCUAGACAUGCACAUUCCCAUUACCACACUUUUUAUUUUUUCGAGAAUUUAAAAGUAAUGUGCAAGUUUGCUCAAUUUUAUUCAUAAUUGCAACCUAAUAUUUAUUGAACUAAAAAUGUAAAAUAGAAAUAGAGAAAAAAAAAUGAAAUAAAUGACAGCUAAAAAUAUAAAAUAAUGACAAAGAAAAGUUAAGAGAACCCCAUCAAUUUUAGUCGGAAUUGUCAUUGGCCGAAACAAUGUCAAAGGGCCAUCUGUCGUGCCAGCCAUACUCAUCUAGAAAGUAAGCGUACUCUUGCCCAGCAAAUCUAUCCAACAUUUGAUUAGGAAAAGGAAACCAGAAAUGAUCUUUCCUAGUGGUCUCGUUUAACUUCUUGUAAUUCAUGCAAAUCCUCCAACCUAUGGCUCGAAUAUAUGGAAUAAUCCAUUUGAUAACCUUAUUGUGCCUUUUCAAAACCACAAGUGACUAUUCUUCUUGAUUCUUGGUGAACUCAACUGAAAUAAUGAUAGGUAAAGUCGAAGAUAGACCCAAAUAAUCAUAUUUCAAGCGAGGAGACAAAAUCUUCAGUUGCAAUCCAAUUGGCUUUUCAAUCAAUGCCUUUGGUCUUUUGUACUCCCAAGAUGAUAACUCUAAUAAUUCAAGUGGAACUUCUUGAGUGAAUCUCUUCUAAUUAGCUUCUAACAAAGCCAAACAUUUCUUAUCUUCAUCACCACUUGGCAAAUUCGCUAGUAGCAUACACUCUAAUGGAUCAUCUACAGAAUUGAGUUGCAAUUUUGUAGAAGCCAAUGAUUUUAUCUCAGAAAUAGCAGAGCAUUCUUUGACUAUAUCUGGGGAUUUAAUAGCACUGAAUACACUAAAAGUUAACUUAUCAUAAAAAAUUUCCUUAAAUUGAGUACCUUCGUAAUGCCCUAAAAUUUAGAUUUUUGGAAUGUGACUGUUUGCAAAAAGUUUGAUUUGGUAUUGUGGUUGUGUGCCUUUGGAGUAUGCUUUAGGACCCAAGUUCAAUUCCUAAGUUUUGGAUUUUCUCCUAUUAAUUUUUGGUCUUAAGUUGGAGUUUUAUGGCUUAAAUUAAUUUAUGUGUUGGAGUGUAACAAUGAUGGGCUUAGUGGUUCAGUGGUUAUGCUUUAGCAUACUUAAGGUCCCGGGAUUGAGUCCUAGUGUGAGUGUAUGGAUUAUUUUUAUUGAUUGCUAUAUGUGAGAAGUAGAAUUCGAGUGGAAUUCUAUUAAAAAUAUGGUGAUAAAUCUUAUUUGUUCUAUUUAAUUUAACUUUAUCCCUUUUUUUUCAAUUUUGUAACCACCCGCGUUUGUUUUUCUUUCUUCCCCUUUCUUGCUUGCACGUCUGCUCUUUGUUUUCUUCAUCAUAUUUUUUUAUUAUUUUUAUUCUCUUUUUCUUCUCUAGUCUUUGGAUUUUCUUUCAAUCUUUCUUGAGUAGUUGUAGGUUUUCAUCUGGGGAUGGAUGUGUUCGUGUGUGAGUUAAGUUUCAUUUGGGUAUUUGUUUUGUUGUUGAAGGAUGCUGUGUUUGAGGUUGCUCGUUUGAGUGGGUUUAAUUGAUAUAAGUAUUGUUUAUUAAAAUUGGUGUUUUCAUGCUUUUGAUUUAGGUGAAUAUUGUGAAAAUCCUAAUCCUCUAGCUGAGCAGACUUAGUUUUAGUCGUUGUUUCCCAUGUGGUAAGUAUGCGAAUUUUGUUAUGUAGGCUGGAAUUUUGGGUGUUAAAGUGUCGAAUUGAUUGAUUUUCAAUAAAUUGAUUGGAUCAUUUUGUUGGAAAUUGUUGGUUUGCGGGUUCCUAGUAGUGGAGUUGGUCGAUUAUGUAAUCAGGUGUGUGAAAACAACCAUAAAAUUCCAUUGAAAUUCGACUGAAAACUCGACAUAGAGGUUGUUUUGAAACUGCCCAGUUUCCACAUGGCCAUGUGUCAGGCCGUGUGAGGUACACGGCCGUAUGGGCCUUUUUGGCCAAUUUUAGGGACCAAUUAAGGGUUGUUUAGAGAAUUCGAUAGUUGGGUCCGAGGACAUUGUAAGGGUCAAAAAAUUGAAAGUUUUUUACUUAAUUAUGUACAAGUAGCUCUAAAAGCUUGAUAAAUAUGUUAAGCUAAAAUUAAACUAUAAGUUAUGUUAUGAGAAAAUUGAACUAUGUAUGAAAGCAUGUCAUCUAAUAUAUGCCAUAUGUGUAUGUAUGUCAUCUAUUUAUGAUUAUGAUAUGUAUAAAAUAUGUAUAUGAUAUGUAUAUGUGUGGGGUGGGAUGUGUUUUGAUGGAGGAAGUGUAUACGGCAUUACUUACUGCAAAUAUGGCGGUUAGACCGCAACACUAUAUGUAUAGUAGCUCCACUGUAAUUAUAUAAGUGACAUACCACCGCAUAUUGGUGUGAUUGGAUGGAUGGACUCGUGUAGUUUAAUAUGGUGUGAUUGGCUGGAUGGAGAUGUUGUGUAGUGGAUGGGGGUAGGAUAUGAUUUGCAUAAUAUGAUUUAAUAUGAUAUGUACGAUAUGAUUUAGUAUGUUAUGCUACAGUAUGAUAAGUUAAUAUCUGCAUGGAUUUUAAGAUAUGAAUUAUUUGAAAUAUGUUAUUCUGGUAUAAUAUUAAUGAAUAUGAAAAAUGCAUGUUUUGGAAUUAUGGGCCAAACCACACAUUGGGCUAUAAGCUUACACUCCUGUAUGAUUUGUUUCAGGUAAUCCUCCGACUUAACAUUGGACGACGUCACAGAAAACUUGAACUUCACAUUUUAAUUCAGUAUUUCAUGGUUUUAUUCUAUUUGAUUUAAAUUGAACAUUUCAGACUUUAUUAUGGUUUGUUUAACUUUUGGACAUUUUAUGAUUUGUUUAGACCAUUAGGACUAAAUGGUUUAUUAUGCUAAAGCUUAAAAUGGUUAACAAUCGAACUUAGGGCAACUAAAAUGAACUCCGUUUUUUUCAAACUAUAUGUUUUAAAUAUUCACUGCUGCAAACUAAAUUUAAGGAUUUCACUAAAAAUAAUUUUGGUACACUAUGAUUAUAGGUGAAUUAGCUUGAACUAUUGAAAUGGUCAGUAUGUUUUACAAAAGAGUGAGACGAUGGAAUUUUCAACCCGCUGGAUUUGGUUUUUCUCCAAAACAAGUAAUAGUUUUAUUUUAUCUAGCAAUGUAACCUUCAUAAUCCGACCACAACGUCUAGGCCGAGUUUAGGUUGUUACAACCCUAAUGUUUUUUCUGGAAUUGCUGAGGAUAUGGAGGUGGUGGGGUUUUGAUCUUGGCCUAUUUGUUUUGUUGCAGUAAGGCUAUUUCUUGGGUCUCAAGUGCAGAAUUCUCAGUUGUGGGAACAAACUUUUGUACUAUAGGAAUUCCAACAUUCAGUUGAAUUUCCUCCUUGUUCCGAGUAACAACAGGUUUACCUCCAGUUUCAACAACUUUGGGUUGCAAAGUCUUCCCACUCCUCAAGGUGAUAGCUUUGCAAUGUUCUUUUGCCAUGCUUUUAGGAUUUUUUGUGUUGCUAGGCAAAACACCUUGAGGUCUGCUUCUGAGCAAAUUGGUUAGUUGUCCCGCUUGGUUUCCAAAUUCCUCAAGGUUGCAUCAUUCUUUUCCAUAUAUGCCUUCAACAAGUUCUCCAAACCAUUAGAAGAUUUGACUUGUGGAGGUUUUUGAACUUGUUGAGUAAAUCUCAACAGAUUAUUCAUUUGGGAUGGAAUAUAAGAAUUGCUAGGACCUGAGCCUUGAUUACUCCAUGAAAAGUUAGGAUGGUUAUGCCAUGAAGAAUUAUAAAAGUUCGAAUACAUACCUCGACCAUUCCUAUUCUGAUUUUGAUUCCUUUUGUAGUAGACAGACUCUAAAUUUGACAGGAAAUUUUUGAGCACAUGGUUGUACCCACAAAACACACAUGAAAUGUUCUCAAAUUGAAUUGGCUGUUGUCCAGUCAUAUUACCAUUGAAACCGUUAGUAGUAAAGUUCUUAUGCAUAGAGGAACUUGAAGAUACUUGAGCUGCUAAAGAUAUAAGUGCAUCAACUUCAUUGUAAGACUUAGAAAGAAUUGCUCCAUUUGUAGAGGCAUGUACCACCAUUCUUGUGUGUGGAGUAAGACCAGUAUAGAAAGUCUCCAUUUGAAUGCAAUAAGGAAUACCAUGGUGAGGUCACCUUCACAAUAACUUUUUGAACCACUACCACGCCUCGUGUAAAGAUUCUUCGUCGAAUUGUUAGAAUGUUGUGAUUUCAUUCCGAAGUUUGGCAUUCUUAUUAGGAGGGAAAUACUUCAUCAAGAAUCAUUCGACCAAUUCUUGCCAUGUACUUAUGGAACCAGAUGGUAGAGAUUUCAACCACAUUCAUGCUUUAUCUCCCAAGGAGUAUGAGAAUAAUUUCAGUCUCAAGUCAUCUUCUGUAACUCCGAUCAAUUUGAACGAGUCACUUACUUCCAUGAAUAAGCGAAGAUGAAGAUGUGGAUCUUCAGUAGGCAUCCCACUAAAUUGACCCACAAUUUGAAACAUUUGGAACAUGAAUGGCUUUAGUUCGAAUUGUGGUGCCUCAAUUUCGGGUCUAACAAUACCUAGAUUGAGCUUAUAGAAGAGAGGAACAACAUAUUGUCGAAUGAUGUAGUUUCUAUCAUCAGAAAAACUGAUCAAAUUGUGAGCAUUAUAAGAAAAUGCUCCUCCUUGAACAUGUUGUAAAGCAUCCACUAUCACCUGAAUAACAACGAAAACUAUUAAAGUAAAAAAAAGAGAUAAAAUUAAACCAAUUUGCAAGACAAUUAAUUUCACAAAUAAUUGACUAAAAUAAUAUUCCCCAACAAUUAUGCUAAAAACUCGUCUUAGAAUAUUCGAUUGAUGUGGAAGUAUACACAAUCGUUGACAAUAAAAAAAUAGUGAGUAAGAGUUAUCAUCUCCACAUGGACUGUUUAUACGAAUCAAGUAUUGCAAAACUAAGUAAUAAGAAAGUUGGUGAUGAAAAUAAAUUAAAGUGAUGGGUUUUAAUUAUAUUAAACUAACUUAAGUCUGGUUUAAAUUAAAUUAACUAAAUAAAGAAAUAAGUAUGCAAGUCUUUAAGAGAAAUCGCAAUAGUAUGUAUGUGUUAAAAUAAUUAUCCUUCCUAGCUUGGAAUUAUUUAAAUAAUGCUAAUGAUGUGAAUGGUCACAUGGAGAAGUUGUUAUGACUAAUUUGUAAAUUUUUAACAAGUUUUGGGUGCCUAAUUUAAUUAUUCUAUGGACGGUUGGGCUUCCAUAGUUGAAUUGGGCUUUUUUCCUCCCUUAGUGGAUGGUUUGGGCUUCAAAUUAAGCAGCAGGCUUGUCCAAUCCGGUGAUCAAACUACGAAAUGGGUCAAAUUGAAUUUGGAAGUCCAAUAAAUAAUUUUAGGACGCUCCAUGCUGAUUAGUCAUCAACCUACGUCUGCAUGGCCUUUGCUGCAGGAAAUUCUACAGCAUCAAACAUCGAACAUGUGGCUUCAAGACUAACUUUUCUACUAUUGCACCAAAUUUCUUCAAAUCGGAAAAAAUAUGUCAAAUUAGCAUGUAAAUAAGUAAGAUUACAAAUUUAUCUUUAAUUUUUUCCUAAUUUCCAAAUCUGUAAUAAAAUUCUAAUAUUUGCUAUCAAAAUACUCAGAAUUUACAUGACUUAUUAAUCAGAAGGUGUUGUAAAUGUCUAUAUAAUUUUGAGUUAUCAUCCUUAUAACUUAAUUAACUAUCAAUUCGAAAAAAUUAAGGAACCAAACUUUAAUAUAUUUUUAUACUAACAUCGUAAUAUUAAAUAUUAAAUAUUAAUCUUUAUGGGCUCGAACAUAGAAAAUGAAAUUUCAAAAUCACUAUUUCUAACACUACUGAAAUAUGAACCACGGCAUAAAAAUAGAGAGGUUAGAAUUGAUAUUUGGGGAUUAACUUUUCAUGUAAAAAAACAAUUGACAUUUGGCAUGUCAUGUACCUUUAUAUAUAUAGUAAUAUAAAUAUUGAUAAUUAUCAUUAUUUUUUUCAUUUGCUCAUUUAAUUUCGUAUUAUUUUUUAUAUGUAAUCUUGAAUAAUUACAAUAUAAAUGUAUUCAUAAAAAAUACUUCCCAUUAAUUUAUACCUACUAUUAAACUUUUACCUAAUUGAUUGUCAAUACCAAAUUUAAGUUUUAAAAGCCUUACUUAUCAACUCUAUGAUUUGUUUAAAAGAGGUAAAUUUUAAAACUACACAUGAAUUUUAGUUUAAUGUCUAAUUUUAUAUAUGAAUUAAGAUUUUGUGAAAUUUUGUACAGAACAUUUUAAUUUGAUCUAAUUUCCAUAAACUACUAACACAACUAUUAAUAUAACAUUAGUUUAAGUUUACAUGUUGCAUACACAAAAAUAAUCAUAUUUAUCGAGUAUAAAAGUAAAUUGAUGCAUAUAUUUCUUUAAACACGUAUAAUUGAAUUAAAAUUAAAAUUUCACGUAAACAUUUGAACCACAAUUAAAAUUUCAUGUAUAUAAUUACACAAAAUCAAAAUUCAUAUAUGAAAUUAUACAUUCAUUUAAAGUUCAUAUGUAAUUAAAGUUCAACUAAAAAAAAUUCAAAUUUGAUUUGUUAAUUAUCAAGCAAAGCUUGAACUAUUAGUUGAGCUAAAUUCAAGUGUUGUAAUACGUGAUUCAAAUUCUUCGUGAGCCUAAUUAAGUUUUUCCUUUUGUAGACUGUGUCUCACAUUUUGGAUGAAACAGAUGGCGAUGUCGUGACGAGGAAGAGCCGAAAUCCAGGUGACGCAACACACCACGUCCCGACGAGAAGAACCCAUCGUCCUGACAAUGCAAUGCAUGGCGUCUCGACGAGUUGAACAUGGCGUGGCAACGUGCUCCUCACUUAACUAGGUUUCUUCUCCUAGUUAAACUCUGUUAUCUUUUCCCAGUCUAACUUUGAUUAUUUUAGGAAUGUUUUAGUCAUAUUUUCACACAAAUUUCAGCCUAUAAAUAGGACUUUUAGCAACCCUAUAUAGUUUAGAAUAGCAAUAACAAAAUUAAGAGUAUUUGUGGGAAUUUGGUAGAAUUUUGUAAUUUUGAGUUCGAGUUUGUUUGUUUCUCUAUCUUGGACUCCCCUUUCGAUUUUUUUCCAUUUUAGUGAAGUUUUCUUUGCCCGUAUUAUUUUAUCCUCUUUGGAGGGGUUUGUUCACGUAAAUAUUUGUGUCCAAUUUUCUCAGUUUUUGUUUGUGUUCGUUGCAUAAUUUAGGUUCAACCCAACAAACUAGUAUUAGAGCUUGGUUUGAUUUUUGCAUUCAACCCGUUCAGAGAUGAACAUGAGGUAUGAUAUCGAGAAGUUUGAUGGGAUCACAAAUUUUAGUUUGUGGCAUGUUCGGAUGACGACAAUUUUGGUAUAAAAUGAUCUGGAAAAGGUGGUUAUAGGGCAAAGGCUCGCGGAUGCGAAUCCAACAGAAUGGGAGGAGCUUGAUGAGAAGGCACUGUUAGCAAUUUAGUUGUUCCUCACUAGCAAUGUAUUGUAGGAGAUACUUUAGGAGAAAAUGACAACAACCUUAUAGAGAAAAUUAGAAGCUCUUUAUAUGACAAAGUUCUUUGUAAAUCACUUGGUAUUAAGACAACGAUUAUAUACGUUUCAUAUGGUGAAUGUGAGUUUAUUAGGGCUCAUAUUAGUGAAUUUUUAACUCUCUUAAAUGACUUGAAGAAUGUUGAGGCCAACAUAGAUGAUGAAGAUCAAGCUAUGUUAUUACUUUAUAUUUUGCUCCCUUCAUACAAAAUUUUUAGGGAAACCCUAAUUUACAGUAGAGAGAGACUCUCGUUUGAGGAUGUGAAGGGAAACCUUUUGAGCAAGGAUAAACUCGAGAGUGAGUUAGACAACAAUCUAAGGAUCCGGGUCAAAGAAGAUCAAGGGCAAGAUCAAAAUCUAGAAACUGCGACAAACAAUAUGACUACUGUAAAAAGAUGGGUCACAUUGAGGUAUAAUAGUAAAAACUUGAGAAUAAAAAUAAGAGGGCUGCCAAAAAUAUUGAGAGAGGUAAACAAAAAACUGAUGUAGCCGAUGCUAAUGUAGUUGAGGAUCGAGGUGAUGAUUUGUUAUUGGUAUCAUUGACCAAAAGGUCUAAGUUCACACACGAGUGGAUCUCGGGUUCAGGGUGUUCCUACCAUAUGUGUCCCAAUAGGGACUAAUUCUCCACAUACAGUUUGAAUGAAGGUGAGGUUGUGCUUAUGGGAAAUAAGUCACCCUGUAAAAUAAUCGACAUUGGUACCAUUCAUAUUGGAUGCAUGACGGGAUAAUCAGAACAUUGUUAGAUGUCAAGCAUGCACCUUAUUUAAAGAAGAAUCUCGUCUCUUUGGGUAUUCUAGAAUAGAAUGGUUGCAACAUCGUUAUUGAGUCAAAUGAAUUAAAAGUAUCUCAUGGAGCCCUUGUUUUGAUGAGACGAAAAAAAGUUAGAAGCCUUUGCAUUCUGCAAGGUGCAACGGUUUUUGGUUUAGCAACAAUUAUGGAAUAAGAUGUGAGAUCAUUGCCAUGUCUCGACGAGGACUCUUUUGAUGUUGUGAUGACAUGUGAAAAUUCCCUCUUUAUGGAUUCUGAAUCAACCCAGUUGUGGCACUUGCGACUCAGUCAUAAGAGUGAAAAAGGUAUGACUGUUUUGAGCAAAAGAUGUCUUUUUACAAGCACCAGAAUUGGAAAAGUUAUAUUUCUAUGGUCAUUGCAUUUAUAGGAAGCAUAAUCGAGUUAGCUUCAAUUUGGCAGUGCAUAGGACUAAAGGGACCCUUGAUUAGAUUUAUGGGGUCUGAUUCUAGUCGUCCCCAUAGGAGGUAGCAUAUAUCUUCUAAAUUUUAUUGAUUACCACUCCAGAAAAGUUUGGGUAUAUCUUUUAAAGCACAAGAAUGAAGUCUUCGGGAUCUUUAAGUAGUGGAAGACCCUACUAGAGAAACAAAUUGGAAGUCUGUAAAGUGGUUUAGAAUGAAUAAUGGGCUUGAGUUCUAUUAAGCUGAUUUCAACGAUUUCUACAAACAGGAAGGAAUCGAGAGACAUCGCACAGUGGUAGGCACCCUGCAAGAGAAUGGAAUAGUUGAACAAAUGAACAUAACUUUACUUGAGAAAGCCCGAUGUAUGAUUUCCAAUACAGGCUUAAAAAAAGAGUUUUUGGGCCGAAGCAGUUAAUUUCGCAAGUUAUUUGGUGAACCGGUCUCCACAUCGAGCAUUAGAUGGAAAGGUUCUCAAAGAGAUUUAGUCAGGUAAUCCUCCUAUUUACUCUAAUUUUAGAGUACGUGAUUGUCUUGCUUAUGCUUAAGUUAGUCAAGGAAAGCUUAAAGCAAAGGCGGUGAAGUGUAUUUUUUUGGGUUUUUACUGUCGGGAUAAAAGGUUACAAGUUAUGAUGCCCAUAAACAGGUAAGAUCAUUAUUAUUAAAGAUGUUACGUUUGAUGAAACAUUGAUGAUUCUGUGAAAAAGGGGUUCGUCGAGUCAAAACACCAUCGAAAAACCAAGUGUUUCAAGCAAGGUGGAGCCGAAAGACGAAAACAGACGGUCACAUCACGAUGUCAUAAAGCCCUACGUGGUAACAUCACAACGAACAUGGGUGAUGUCUCGACAAAGAGAAUUGCCACGUUUUAACAUCAUGCAGAAAUAAUGAAACCGUCAUUUCUUUGAUGUAUUAGAAGGUUUUUGAAGCCUCUCCAUCCCAAUCAGAAUCCCUUCAAGAUUAUAAGUUUACUCAGGAUAGAAAAAGGCGAGAGAUUAGGCCACUGCAAAAGUACUGGGAAGGAAAUCUAGUUGCAUAUGCUUUAAGUGUUGCAAAGAGCAUCGAUUUAGCCCACCUAUCAAAUUAUUUAGAGGUAGUUCAGGUUUAUGAUUCUAGUGAGUGACUUGUUGCCAUAAAAGAAGAAAUGGAGUCUCUUUAAAAGAAUGAGAUAUGACAGCUCGUUAAACCACCCAUCGAAAAUAAAAUAGUUGAUUGCAAGUGGGUGUUCAAAAGAAGGAAGGAUCGGAUCGAGAUGACACUAGAUAUAAGGAGAUGUUGGUCGCAAAGGGUUACAGUCAAGUGAAGGGAGUUAACUUUCAUGAUGUUUUCUCUCUAGUUGUGAAGCAUACAUCCAUUCAGGCACUGUUAGCUCUUGUUGCAUUAUACAAUCUCCAGUUAGAGCGGUUCGAUGUAAAUAUUGCAUUCUUUCACAGGGAUUUGGAUGAGGGCAUUUAUAUAUAGCAACCUGAAGGCUUGAAGAUUGAAUGUAAGGUAGAUCAUGUUUGUUUUCUUCAGAAAUCAUUAUACGAGCUGAAACAGUCUCCUUGGUAGUGGUACAAGAAGUUCGACUCCUUCAUGAUAAGCAUAAGUUUUGUACGAAGUAAGUAUGAUAACUAUGUAUUCUUACAUCGUCUUCAUGAUAGAUCGUUUAUAUACUUUGUUGCUUUAUGUUGAUGAUAUGUUAAUAGUGAAUAAUGAUCUAUUAGAAAUAAACCGAUUUAAAACCAUGCUUAAUUCUAUGUUCGAGAUGAAGGAUCUUGGUGCAGUCAAAAAAUUUUAGGGAUGAAAAGUUUGAGAGAUCGACACUCCGGGAAGCUAUUUCUGUCACAACAGAGAUACAUAGAAAGAAUUCUCAAGCAGUUUGAAAUGUAAGAUUGUAAACGAGUUAAUGCACCAUUAGCUGCACACUUCAAACUUUCGGCUUCAGAUUCACCACAAACUGAAGACGAAGAAAGAUACAUGUCCUCGGUUUCUUAUUCCAGUGCAGUCAGAAGUCUAAUGUAUGCACGUUUGUACUCAUCUUGAUAUUUCACAUGUUGUUAGUGUAGUAAGUAGAUAUAUGACCAAACUCGACAAAUUACACUGGCAAGUUGUUAAGUGGAUUCUAAAAUAUUUGAGGGGAACUUCCAAGACUUGUUUGGAAUUUAGAAGAUGUUCAGAAGGUCUAGUUAGUUAUGUAGAUUCAAAUUAUGUUGGAGACUUAGACAAAAGAAGCUCUCUCAUAGGUUAUCUGUUCACUUUCGACAAUUGUACAAUUAGUUGGAAAGCCACUUUUCAGGCUACUGUGACAUUAUUAACUACAGAGGUAGAAUAUAUUGCUAUCACAGAGGUUCUGAAAGAGGCCAUUUAGUUGAAAGGUCUAUUCAGAGAGCUGAUUGAUAAAAACGACAAGAUUAUUGUUUCAUGAUUAGUGCUAAUUGAGAUUUAAAUUUGGAAUGGGGAUAGAUUUUACGGUAUUUGAACACGCUAACUUUCAUGGCUUCUACGUAGGCUCCUCUCAAUUACCUUUUUUUCCCCUUUAUUUAGUAUUAUUUGAUUCAAUGGUAGUUACCAAUGUGGGUAAUGGGCAAAUUGAUUUUAAAUUAGGUUCGAUUGCUUCCAAUUACCUAUUUUAUUUAAUAGAUUUAAAUUAGGUUAGAUUGCUUCCAAUUACCUGUUUUAUUUAAUAGAGUUAGAUUGCUUCGAAUUACCUGUUUUAUUUAAUAGUGUUAAGGUCAGCAAUGGAUACACUUAAAUACAAAGAUUAUAAAAUAGGGAUAAUGCAUGUAAAAGGAAAAUAAUAACAAGAAUGGAGAAAUCCAGAUGUAAAGAGGAUUUCCCCGAUUGCUUGUUCCCUUUAAAAACCCACUUCAAUGUUUCAAAAUCAAUUUUUGUUUCCUUUGAAAGAAAAUAGAUUCACCGACUACUACUACUACUAAUAAAAUAAUCUAUUAUCAGAUUUAUUAUAAUCUUAUUAUUAUUGAAUCCCAAAUUAUGAAACGUUCAUCUUUUCCAAAACUAUUUUGAAUUUCAGUCAUAAUUGUACCCAAAAAAAAUUAUAAUUAAAUUUAAUGGGUGAAUAUCAACAAUCGUUGAGCAAACUUUUCCAUUAAAAGUAUGUUGUUAAAACUUUAAAAAGAAUAGAUUAAGGAAUUGGUAGGCAAAACCCUUUAAUUGCUGCUUCAAAGUUUAAAAGUAUCAUUUAUUUAUAUAGUUAAUGAUUAGAAUAGUAGGGUGGGGUGUUCUGAGAAGACUUUCUAUAUAAGGAGACCUUCACUGUUUAUAACAAACCAUACAAUCUCAAAAAAGAACGAAGAAAUGGAUAUUGCAACAGAGGCACCCAAAGCUCCUUUGACAAGUGAAAGGAAGGUUCGAGCAGACCUUGAAGAUAAAAUACCCAAACCCUGUAACUCUUUUUUCCUUUCUUCGUUCCAACAGCUCCAUAUGAUGUUUUUUUUGACAAACAUGUAUGAAAUGUUGGAUCAGAUUUGGCAAGGGUGGAAAAUCCACAUGGAACAGUACCAGGACACAACAACAAUGGAAUGAGUGUUCUUCAGCAACAUGCUUCCUUUUUUGAUCAAGACAAAGAUGGAAUUGUUUAUCCCCGGGAAACCUACAGAGGUUCUUUUUUCUACAAUUUAUUUUAGUUUUUUAUGUUUUACAAAUUUUGACAAAAUUUAUGGUGAAAACAAGCAGGUAUGAGAAAUCUUGGUUUCGGUCGAUUCGAAAGCUUUCUUGCUGCAAUCCUCAUCAAUGGGGCAUUGAGUUACUGGACUCUCCCUGUAAGUUAUUCUGCCCACUUUUAUUCCCUCAUGUAAAAUAUACACUUACCUAUACUUGUAUCUGAAUAUGUGAGUUACUCGCAUGUUUACACAUUUUUCUUUUCAAAUUUGUAAUUUUUUAGGUUUGAGUUUCUUGUUUAUAUCGACCUCAGGUUUUUUCGAGUCAAUUAGUUAGUAUUAAUUUUGAAUUGAUCAAUUAUAUUUAUUUAUUUAUACAUAGAUUUAAGUGUUUUGUUGAGUUAACCAGAUCUCGAUUUAGUUGUAAAAUUAUUCAAAAAUUCUUUAUUUGUAUAAAGUAACAAAUAUUAUUUUGAGUUUAUUAUAUAUUUAUAUUUUAAUAUAAAAAAAUACUUAUACAUAAUGAGAUUUAAACUUAAAAUCUCAUUGUAUUUAUAAACUCAACUUUAAAAUUUCAAUUAAACCCACGUUUGAUUUUUUUUUCUAACUUUUUAUAAAAUUAUUAGAUAAAUUUAUUUUCACCCAUAUCAUAGAUGUGUCAUAAUCUAGAAUAAUUUAAAUGUUUAUCUAUCCAUAUAAAUUAUUAGUUUAUUAUUAUUUAGUAAAUUUUUUAUAAUAUUAUAUUCUUAGUUAUAUAUAUUUAAAAUUAUUGUAAUUUCAAAAUUAUAUAACAUUAAUUUGUUAUAUAAAAUAAAAAUUUAAAUAUAUUAUGAAUUAAUCAUAUUAAAUUCUAAAACAUAAUUUUUAAAAUAAUUAUAUCAUAAAUUUUUAAGAUAAUCAUGAUAUAACUUGUUGUUUUUCUUUUAGAAAAGUACUAUUUAUUUUAACAUAUAUAAAAAAUAUAUUAAUAUUUAAUUAAUUUAUUAAAAAUUAAAAAUAAUAUUAAUGAUUAAAGUUUUUAUAGAAAACUUAAUUAUCCUUUGAUUAUUUAUUAAUUUUAACAUUAAAUUUGGUUUGCGUUAAUCUCAAGUUCAAGUUUUUUUUUCGGGUUUUGACUUUUUAGUCAAAUUAUAAUUUAAUUGGUUUGAGCUUAAGUUUUUUCUAUUGGUUUUUCUAGUCUAAACUCAUUUUGUCACUUUCACCCAUAAUUUUAUGUGCAUCAAGACACUAGUAAAUUUAUUAAAGCAUUAAGUUACUUGCGUAAGUUCAAAGGCCAGUCCAAAAUAUGAAAGGAUUUAAAUAAAAGUAUGAGAUCUGAAAUAUACUCUUCAACAAAAAGAAAGCCCAUUUAAAAUAUGAAUUGGACUUAGACUCCAACAUUUAAGACCUGAGCCAAAUCCUUUUUGUGCAUUUAUAAUAUAUUGCUUUAUGUUAUUUUUACAUAUUAUAUAAUUUACAUCACAUAAUAUUAAAGAAUAAAUUUGAACAUAAACAAAAUUGUAUACUUAAAUUUUAAGUUAGAUUAGGUCUGAACAAACAUAAAAAAUAUUAAUAUUUCAAUUUAAACUUCACCCACAAAGGCACAAAAAUAAUGAAGAGUAUAUAUAUACCCCUAUACGGUUGCUGAUAUUGCAUUCACAAAUUUGAUAGGGAUGGCUACCAAAUUUACAUUUCCCUUUAUACAUAGAUAGAAUACAUAAAUGCAAGCAUGGAAGUGACUCGUCAACAUAUGACACUGAAGGAAGGUAAUUAGCAUAUCAUAUUUGAAUUAUUAAAAAUAUCAAAUAAAAAUUAUUUUAAUCUUUCACAUGCAAAUGAAUGUGAUCUUUUUAGGUUUAUGCCAAUGAACUUUGAAAGUAUUUUCAGCAAGUAUGCUCGAACUGUGCCCGACAAGUUAACAUUUAGAGAAGUAUGGCAUAUGACUGAAGCUAAUCGAAAUGCAUAUGACUUCAUUGGCUGGUAUUUUCAAUCACCCUUUUCUUUAAAUCUCAUGUGUUUUUUAUUCAAUUAAAAGAAAAAUGGAAUUUGUUUGCAGGAUAAUAGCAAAGGGAGAAUGGAUACUUUUGUAUAGACUUGCAAAAGAUGAAAAUGGUUAUCUGUCAAAAGAAGCUGUGAGGGGUUGUUUCGAUGGGAGUUUGUUUGAACAAGUUGCCAAAAUGAAUAAUACCGGUAACAAAAAGAGCCAUAGAUUGAAGGAAUGAAGGUUGUGGCUUUGACAUACGUGUUGUUUGAGUAUGUUGCCAAAAUAAAGAAUAAUAAUCACUGCUUUAACAUACCUAUUUAAAUGUUUUAUUAUAUUGGUGUUGCUCCUUUCAACCCGGUUAUGAAAUUAUCAAAAAUAAUUUAUUUUAUAAAAUAAUAUUAUUUUUACUAUUUUUAUAUGAAAUAUUUAAAUAAAACAACUAAAAACACAAUUGGAUUUAAGCUUAAAAGAUCUUAAUCUUAAGCACUUUAUUAUUUUAUCAAUAAUUUAAUUAUUAAUUUUUAUAAAUAUAAUUUUAAUAUUAUGAUUUGCUUUCACCUACAUGAUAAAAUCUAAUAUAUUUAUAUAUUUUUAUAUUUUACACGUAUUAAAGAACUAUAUAUAUUAAAAUUAUGUUCACAAAAAAUAUAUAAAUAUAUAUUUAUUUCUAUAACAUAUAUAAAAUCAAGAUAACUCGAAUGUAAAACAAUUACCGCAUUGGCUCGGGUUUAAAGUUCAUUAAAAUAAUUUUUUAAAAUGGUAAUAUUAUUAAUAUUAAUAUAAUUAUGAAAUUAAUAUAUUAUAAUUUUUAAAAAUAGCAUAUAAAUUUUCAAUCUUUUGAGAAUCAAUAUAUGGUUUAAUCUAGGUGUGAGCGUUGAAUCGAAUCGAAUGAAAUUUUUUUGAGUUAAUCGAGUUAGCAAAUCUUAUUUUAUCAUCCUAACUUGAUUUGAGGUUUUCUUGAAUUGAGUCGAGUAAGAUGGAAUUCGAAUCGAACAUAUUUGUUUGAGUUUAAUUUAAAAAAUGACUUUGAGUCUUUGUAGUCACUGCCACCCACCGUAAUCAAAUUAGUUGUUAACUUUCAUCACCUCAUAAUUUAUUUACUAAUCUUUUAUAUACGAGUUAGCUUCUUUGCUUGCUUAAUUGUUUUAAUUAUCUUCUGAUUCUUGUCACCAUGUAUUUUGAAAUUAAAAAAAUAUUAAAUGUAAAAAAUGUGAUUUUUUAAUAAAAAUUAUUUUAAGAUAAAAUGUGAAAUUGAUACCAAUAGAAAAUUUUAAUACGAAUAAUUUAUGGCUCAAUAAUUCAAUUUUAAUAGAAAAUGAUAAAGAUCCAACAUGAUUAAACAAUUCAAUAAUAUAAAUAGUUGACAUAAAUUCAGGAGAAAAAAGUUUUUGGGGUUUGGGGGGAAGUAAAAGUUUUGGGGGAAAGUAAAAGGAAAAAAAGUUUUGGAAGUUUGGGGGAAGUAAAUGGGUUUGGUAUUUGAUUUAUUCGAAUUAUUCGGGUUAUUUGAAUUCAAAAAUUCAACUCGAUUGAAAUUCAAAAUUAAAAAAAAUUCGAGUUGAUUCAAUUAACUCAAUUAAUUUGAUUCAAAUAAUUCGAAAUUCAAACCUUUUUUUUGAGUUGAAUCGAAAUUUGCUCACUCCUAAUUUAAUCUUUUUAAAUUAUGGAUUUUAAAUUGUUUUGUCGAAUACAUGAAUUGUAACACCCCGAAAUUAGGGUUAGAAGGAUCAAGGUUGCUAGGGUGAGUCAGUGGGUGUGAUGGACUGUUAAGUUAGUUUUUGCGCUUUAAGAGUAGAUUGAGUUUGUUGGUUCAGUGGUAAGGUGGUUGUUAAUUUAUCCUUAGGUCCUCUGUUCGAAUUCUUUAGUGUGCUUUGUGGGGAAUGUUUUUGUUUUUGGGUUUCACCUUUUAAAAAAGAAACUGAUGGGUCAAAGUUUGUUUAAUUUAAUUUAAUUUAGAUUAUAUUUGUUUUAGUUUUUUAUUUUUGAAAACUAAAGGAAAAUCGCAAAAGUUUCUCAUGUUUUCCACUCUCUCUUUCACAUCAAUCUCUCUCCCACUUCCAAGAAUUUAGAUUAUGAUUUUCUUUCUAUCAUUCUCUUUUGUUCUUCAUUUUGAUUUUGUCUCUUCUCUUUUUUAUUUCAACAUCGUUGUUGAAUUGUCGUUCCCUUGGAGGUUCAUUUGUGUUCUCGCAUUUUUGUUCAAAUUAGAUUUGAAUUGGAGUAGAGUAAGUGUAUUGUUUUGGGUAUUGAUAGGUUUCAUUAAUUUAUUUGUAUGGCUUUGAUCCAAAUUCUUAUAGUUUUAGUAUGGUUGUGAUAUUGGGGUUUCAGGAUGGUAGAUUAGACGCAAAUCAAUCGAUCUUUGGGCUGGGAAUCGCGUUUUUAAGGUGUGUGUGUUCUAAAACAUUUUGAAUUAGGCGUUGGAUUGAUGUUGAAAUUUGUAUUUUGCAGCAGAUUUGGGUGUGGUUUCUGAACCACACAAGAGUGUGCCACACAUGGGCGGUCCACAUGGUCGUGUGUUGUUUUUGAAGAUUAUGUAGUUUGUUUGUUACAUGGCUUGGAGUGGGUUACACGGGCCGACCACACGGCUGUGUGACCUCUGUUUGGGGAUUUUUGUCGAUCACACACGGGUGUCUUCCCCAGUCACACGAGUGUGUCAUUCAGCUGCAUAGUCGUGUCUCCCCUACUUUUAAAAUUGUAUAAUUUUGUCACACGGGCACAGAUAGUUACACGGCCUGCCCACACGGUCAUGUAUCGCAGUCACACGGGCGUGUGUUUCAGCCACACGACCAUGUGCCUUUAUCACAUGGGUGUGUCUCUCAUUCUUACGGCUGUGUAGACCUGUCACACGGUUUGGACCCUCCCACAUAGCCAUGUGGUCCUAUUUUGCAGUUUUUAUCAUCUAUUUGUAAUUUGACUCAUUUUGGUACUUGAGUAAUCCUUUUCUCAUUUAGGCUUUUGGAGGAGUGUUUGGGACAUUUCUUCAAUUUGGAGAAGUUCUAUAAAGUGAGUUUUAGUGAUUGAAUUUAUUAACGUAUAUUUAUUCAUAAGUUAAAUUUUGUUAGACACAUAAAUGCUUGGAUGAUGAUGUAAGUUAACUUGGAUUAUGAUAUGAUUGGAUGUGAUAAGUGAUAAUGGUAUGUGUUAUUAUUUUUGUUGUUUUGUAAAUGAUUAUGAGCAGGUUUGAUUCUGACUCUACUAAUUAUGAACUGUUUACUAAUAUGUUUAUUGAUUAUGAAAAUCGAGAAUGAGCAUGUCCGAUUCAGUAAUUCUGUAUGUAUGAUAAGUUUUGAAUCGACAUUUAGGGUAUGGGAUUUGUUUGAAGAGAAUGAAGAUUGAUUUGGCAGUAUUAACUACAUUAUUAAAAUUUGGCAGUAAAACUGCAAUCACAUUAACAACUUGUCGCUGAAGAACUUGAGUGGCAAAUGACCACAAUAAGGUGUGCUCAGUUGGAUGGGUCCACCAUAACCUAAAUAUUGGUGUGUAAAGGUUGGAAAGGGUUUAGUAUACCCUAAUUGGUGUGUGACGGAUGGCUAAAGGUGGUGUGUAGAGGCUGGAUAGGUUGGUAUUCGGACUGGUGCAUUUGCAUGUGAAUUGCUUUUAUUUUGUUUUUGAGUAAAUACUUCACAUAAGACUGUUUGAUUAUGGAAUGAUCUUGGAAUUUGUAUGUUUGAGAAAUUCCAGGUGAAUAUGUUUUGCAUAUUUGUUAAGUUUUACAAUAAUAUGAUAUGCCAAUCUGAUAUGAUCUUUAAUUUUGAAUUGAUUUUGGUAAAUGUAAAUUUUAGUUAACUGUUCGACUCUAUAUAAUUACGUUUGUUUAAGUCUCACACUGAGCUUUGUAGCUCACUCCCUUAGUUUUUCUUCUUUUCAGGUAACCCUCGUGUUUAGGUGUUGGACUCAGCAAACUGUAGGUCUCGAAAACGACACUUUUUGGUUUGAUUUAAUAAAGUUUUUCAUCAAUUUGAUAAACUAAUUUUAUGGACUAUGGUAUGAGUUUUGACUUUGGUCUUUCGUUAAUUUUUGGUUUCUGAGUUAAACUUGAGAUACCAUGCAUGAAUUUUAGGUAUCUGACUAUGGUUUUUUGGCAAGAUAAAAGGUUUUGUUUUUGCAUUGCAUAAUUUGGUUUGAAGUUCAGAAUAAAAAAUUGCUAAUUCGUUUUUGUUACAAAAUUAAUACGCGAAGUUUGGAAUUUAGUUACAAAUAAUUUGUAAGCGAUGAAUAGAUUUAACUUUUUCAAACUAUAAAUAAAGCUUGAUUUCAGUUUCAAAUAAAUGAGUUUGCAAAAUUGUAAAAAAAACUCAAUCACUGUUUCAGUCAAAUGUGAGUAAAUAUGGUUCUUGGAAAGGUUUUUGACAAAUUCAAUCGGUGUUUGAUUUAGGGCCAUUUCGGUGGCCAAUGUAACCCCUAGAAUCCAAUCGAAACUUCUGGGUUGGGUCUUGAGGUGUUACAUGAAUAAACCAACUCAUUUAAAAAAUUCCAGUUAAAAAAAAUAUUAAAGACAUUUUUUCGAGAGAUCAAGUGAAAUUAAGAAAAAAGUUGUACCAACUACUUUAAAUGCAAUAUUUAAACAUAAUAUAAAAUAAUUAAAAACCGUUCAAUUUUGAAUCAUACAAAUAAAAGAUUUGGUUAUUUGUUAUGAGUUAAUGAAAGGAAAAAAACAAAUUAAAGAGAAAAUAUCAAUACAAAGAAGUAAUACAGUAGAAAGAUAAACGAGAAAACUUUUUAUUUCAUUAAUUGUGUAUCACUACAAGCCUUGUACAUGCCUCUAUUUAUAGACAUUCUAAUAUAAUAGAAUACCUUAAGUUACAAAGAAUAAAUAGAGGUUUAACUACAAUAUAAAACCCUCAUAAUUCCAUUGGGGGUUACUACAAUGAAGGUUACAACUUUGAGAUUAUGAACAUCCACAAUAAAGUAAUAAUUAGAACACUCCCCAUUGGAUGUCCAUUAAUAAAGAAUGAAUAUGCCUCGUUAAAACCUUACUAGAAAAGACCCAGUAGGAAAAAAUUCUUAAUGAAGGAAAAAGAGUACAAUAUUCAUAUAUAUAUGCAUGGACAAACCUGCCUCAUUAAAAACCUUAUCUGUAAAACCCAAUGAGAUAAAAUUUCGUAAAGGAAAAAAGAGUACACUACGUAUUUUACUACCCCUUAUUUGAACAUCAUUUUAUAACUUAAUAUUAAGAAGUUCAAUAUUAUUUAUCAAUAGUAAAUCAUCAAUAAAUACAACAAAUUUUGUUGAUGCAUAUCAAUAUAGGCAUAAAAUUCAAUUGUAUUCUCAUACUUUAGAUGUCGCAAACAACUUUUUAAAGAAUGACAUAUUGUAUCAUCACUAUUACCAACAGAAUGAGUGCAUUGAGCACAUAAAGAAAUGGUACUUCAAGACCAUCGUUUUAUAACAUUAUUGUUUGACCAUUUGUAUUCCUUUUCAAUAUCUCCAAUCUACAUGAAAAAUUAGCCUGGUUAAUUUUGAUUAUAUAAAAACUAUUGGAUACUCAAUAAUAAUUCUUUAUAAUAUCAUUGUGUAAUAAUUUGUUCUUUUUGAACACUCGAUCUUCAGGUCGAGACAAAAUUUCAUUUUUAGAUAUACUUUCAUUAUAAAGUUUAUCUAUUGAAUAAUUAUUUCUCUUGGAAAUUCUUUAGGAACUCCAAUGAUAUUUGAUACAUUAAUAUCAACAUUAAUGAUAAUAACCUAUAUGUAUAAAUGUAUUAAUUAAUAAAAAAACUUGAGCAAACUCAUAUUUAUAUUUAAUGGUUUCCCACGAAACUAAAGUUUUAUGCUUCAAGUAUCAAUAACAAUGGAGUCUUUUUUCUCAAUAGCAAUAGAUGGAGACAGGUUAAUCAGAAAACAUGUAGUAAAGGCCAUUUUUGCCCAAAACGACUUCGAUAAAUAAUCAUUCAACAACAUAUAUCGAAUCUUCUCCAUGAUUGCUCUAUUCAUCCGUUUUGGAAUGUCAUUUUGCUGUGGAGUAUGACAAACUAUCAAGUGUGGAAGUGUUUUAUUUUUUUUCCUGUUUGCUUUUCGAUCAUAGUUUCCUAAGCCUUAAACAUGGAAAAUACAUCACUUUUCUGCUUCAAGAAGAAUGCUCAAACCUUUCUAGAAAAAUCAUUAAUGAUUGUCAGUAUAUAAUUAGCACCACCCCUCAAAGGCACUCUAGAUGAUUCCCAAAUAUCAAAAUGAAUAUAAUUUAGCGUUUCCUUUGUGUUAUAGAUUCUUCUGGUGAAUCAAACUCUCUUUUGCUUCUCAAAAACGCAGUGCUCAUAGAACUUUAGUAAACAAAAUGCUCUGAUACCAAUAAAUGUCAUAGCAAGCACCCGACCGGGUAAGAUAUUGUUCGCUUUGGACGCACAUGACCCUUACGGAUUUGUUCUUGGGAGCGCCCAUACACCCUCCAAAAAGGCUUCUUACCACGUAAGUGUUGCUACCACUUUAUAUAGCUCAGCUUCACCCCAUUAAGGACUCAAUGUCCUCACUGAGGUUUGCCCCACCAUUGCUCAAGAGGCACGACGAGUGGCUCCGAUACUAAUUUGUUAAAAUUUGAACGUCAAUAAUGGCAAUAUAGAAAGAUCGAAAAGAAAAGAAAAUACAACACACAUAUUUUAUAUGGAUACCCUUUCAGGAAAAAAACCAUCAGCAGAUGAGACGAAAAUUCACCAAUGUUGAAUUCGAAUGAUACAAGAGGAGUUUCGACUACAUCUAUUUAUAGGUUAAAAAAACCUAAUUUUAAUCAAUGUCAAAUAUAUUAUGCUAAUAAAUGCUAAAUAUAUUAUACUAAUAAAUACUCAAUUUUUCAGAAAGAAAAUAUAUUUUGUUUAACUUUACUUACAAGCAAUCUCUUAGAAUUUGGGUCACACAACUCUAACACCGUGCAAGGCCUAAGAAACUACCAAACGUAAUAUACAAGCAAAGUACAUAUGUUGCAUCAACUUAGAUAUGACAUCCUCCUAAUUAUUAUAGUUUCAUGAAGAACUAGCAAGAUUAAUACAUUUUGCAAGGAUAAAGGUGAUGUGAGUCUCAAGACCCAAUUUUAGACCCAUGGAUGUGAUGGGCUUACACUACCUCAAGGCCUAACCAUGCUGUCAAUUUUCAAGCUAAAAUGGUUAGUCAACUUGCAACAACUAUUUGUAUGAGAUCUAGACAUUUAUGGAUUAGGAUGUCUUCAUAGCAUUCGAUGCUCUAUCUUGUAGCUUCAAAAAGAAGUUCGAAUCACUCGAUUUUGAGUUUGAGAACUCAAGUUAUGACUGUUUUAAUGAAAAUUGAGCGAGUAGAAUUUCUAGAUGAGAUUAUGAUGGGAAUUACGAGUUUUGGGCUUUUAAUUUGAGUUUAAAUCAUAUUAGGUUUGGGUUCUAGGCUUAAUUUUUAUUAUAUAUGAGCCCAAUAUUGUAUUUAUAAGCUCUUAUUAUAUUAUUAUUUUAUUCUAAAUUUUUGAUAAUUAUGAAUGAGCCUAUUUAUAGACUUUAGAGUGGCCGUCAUUCUUAACCUUAGGUCAGUUGUUGUUCUCGUGCUUAACAUUUGAUUCUGCGGACCAAAACGCCCAUAGCUCGUAACUAUUUCCUGUACAGAGGUGAUUUCGUGACACAAAGGUCCUUUUUCUCGACAUCAGGCAGUAUGCUCCUUUAGGGAAUCUUUAGGGUGUGUCGUGAGAUCCUCAGGCUGUGUCGCGGCACUAAAGGCAGUCUUGGAAUUCUUCUAUUUUGCUUUCUAUGUUGUGAUAUUCAAUACUCCAUGUUGCAAUGCAACGACUAGUAUCGAGUUUAAAACGCCUUCUAGUGGUCUCCUGCAUGCUCACAAAGUAUAUUAACUUACCCUUAGGCCUCAUUCGGCCCCUAAGGUAAUUAAAAGACUCAAAUUACACACUUUAUUGAUUUUAACUAAACUUACGAAAACAUAAUUAAAACUUAACUAAAAUGCUUAUGUUCAAGCUCCUAAAGUGUGAAAACUAGUUUAAUCUACUACACUGAACUACAGCAGAUUAGGUCACACGGCCGUGUGACAGAGCCCAAACCAUGUGGUCAAACUGUGUAUAAUUCGAAAUAAGGGUCACGGUUGUGUCGUAGCUUGUGUGCAAAUCAAAGUAGGGUCACACGACCAUGUCUCCAGGCCGUGUAACUCUCUGUAACCGUGUGGACAAUCCUGCAUCUAAAAUAAAUAAGACAUGACCGUGUGAUAGCUCGUGUCCUAGGCCGUGUGACAACUCGUGUCCCAGGCCGUGUGCACCAUAAAAAGCUUACAAAACAAGGAAAACUUUCAUCCAAACCUUAGGUACAUAGCUAACUCAAAACUGAUCAUUUCCAUACCUUUAAAACAUAUUGAAACAAGUUUAAAAUAUACCAAAACAUACAACUUAGGUGUCUAACCAAUGUGUCAUCAUUGACACCACAAUUCAAUUAUCAAACUAAAUCCACAUUACAAACAAAACUAGUUGCAUUCAAAUAUCACAAGUACAUACACUAAACAUAUGCAAAACCUACCAAUUCAUUCAAUCCAUUCACAUUUUAAUUUACCAUAUUUCAAACACUUCCAUGAGGCAUGUACUAGAUAACCAAAGACAUAUUUAUAAAAGCAUGUGCAAACCAAAACCAAAGGCGUAUGCGCAAGUAAGCUAAAAUCCAACGUAAACAACACCACACAAGUAUAAUAUGCACCACUUGUAAUAAGUAUCUCAAACAUACACAAGACACACCUGUUACAUGCCAUAUAACUCAAAGGUAAACAUGUCAAAAUCUACCGAUAGAUAUCUGGAUAUUGUGAGCUUUAAGUUGAUCUGAUCGCUUGAUUCCACAAAAUGAUAUCUACAAGAAAAUAGGAAAAAAAAUCGAGUAAACUGUUAUGAGCUUAGUAAGUUCAUAGGUUGAAGCAUUAUAAAUUACCGUAUAAUCACAUUUUAGUAACUUAACAAAAUCGCUAGCUAAUAUUAACUUUAACCCUAUCAACCACAACAAUUCAACAGGUGAGUUUCGUAAAUACGAGUCAUAUAAUCAUCACAUUUAUAUAGUGUCAACCAUUAUCAAGUCACAAUAUAUUAUCAGAAACCAUGAACACUUAUACAAUUAACCAUCAAAGCAUCAUAAUUGAAAAUCAAAUACAUAUCAAUAUCAUGUCAUCUAACCAUAAAAUUUUUAGCCCGAUCAAUGAUAUGAACAAAUAUGGAUACGCGAUUAACCAUCUAGAACAUGUCAGAAUGCUCAAAUGAACCAAACCAACCGAGAACACACCUGAGCACCAAGUGUCAAGCCCGUAAGCUAACAUCUGCCCCCGGUAACACACUAGAAUCAUUGUAAAUAUAACACGAUAGUCCGUAACAAAUGCUGGACACUGAUAUAUUUAGUGGAAAACUAAUCAAAAGACAUCAUCUCUUUGCAAGUCAACCCCAUACCGUGCGCAAUAUAACCUAUUGGCGUGCCAAUUGUAUCCUAUCCUAUGUUCAUCCAGGCUCAAUACAACUAAACAUAUAACAUUUUACAAUUCAAUUCACCUUCUCACCUUGUGCCAAUUUUGCAACAAUUCAAACACACAAACAUAUAUACAUAUAUAUUAACAUACCACAAUUCAUAUAUAAUUACCAAUUAUACCAAAUUAAACCGUGUGAACUUACCAAUACCAAAAUGCAGAAAUGGCUAAAUUCAGGGACUAAUUGACAACCUUUCUUGUUUUCCCGAUUAUCCUCCGAAUGAUUCAAUUUUUGAUCUAUAUAAUGAUUAAAUUCAAUUUAUCAAAUUCAAAUACAUUAUCAAACCCAUUUCUAUGCAUGUUACCUUUAAAUUUAAUUCUACAAUUUUUCCCUCAACUUUUACACUUUUUUUCAAUUUUGUCCUUAAUAUUAGAAUGAGCCUAUUUUGACAAUUAAUUCAUAAACCUGAUUUUUGCCGAAACUUUAACCAUAUAAAAACAACCUUUAAAUUCUGAAAUUUUCUAAUAAAAUCCUUUCAAAUUUCACUUGCUUUUAAUCAAAUCUUUAAACUUAAAACUAUACAAAAUUAGUUUACAAAAUAACUUUAUUUAACAACCAAGCUUAAUGAUCUACCAUUUAACUUCAAAAACACAUCAAACUCUUCAAUGAUAUCUUCCAAAACAUUUAAUAGUUUCACAAAUUAACCCCUAGGUUAGCUAGAUUAAGAUAAAUCGAUCUCAAAAACAUAAAAUUCAUGAAAAACGAGUGAUAAAUGGACUUACAUACAAAGAAAUGAUCAAGGUAGGAACUUUUUCCUCCUGAAACAGUGGUGUUUCAGUUUCAACCCAAACAAAUGAAGAAGAAGAUAAUUUCUUACCAUUUUCAAUUGUUUAAUCUUUAUAUUUAAUUAUAAAAUACCAUUAACUAAUAUAUUUUUAAUCAAAUUUUUGCCUACCUACUAUCCACUAAAUAGGAAAUGACUUAAUUGCCAUAGUAAACCAUCAUAUUUUCCUUAAAUACCCAAGUGGCACUAAAACAUUAAUAACAAUAGACUUUUACACUUUUUAUAAUUUAGUCCUUUUUCUUUAAUUAACUAUCUAAACGUUAAAAUUUCUAAACUAAAUUUUAAUACAACAUUGAUGACCUCGUAAAUAUUAAAUACUUAAUAUUUAUGGACUCACAAGUCAGAAUUGUGGUUCCAAAACCACUAUUUCUUACACCACUAGAAAACAGGCUGUUACAUAAAGAUUGACUUUUGUCAAGUAAAUAAUAAACCUACUUGCAUUAUAAUAAAAUUUAUAAUUAAGUUUUAAAGUAGAAUUAGAUAAGAUGAAUUGGGUGUUAUUAAUAGGGACUAACUAUAGUAACUUCACUAUCUGUAACACCCCAUACCUGACCUAGACGUUAUGGCCGAGUUCUGAGAAGUUACAUACGUUCGCUUGAAAUCAUUUAUUUAAGUUCAAAAACAUUUCAAAAUUACUCUUGACUUGCCCCUUUUCAAAAUAUUUAAAGAAGAAACAUCAUUAAGUGUUUAUAACUUAUUUUUAAAAAAUAUGCCCACAUGACCGUGUGGCCCACACUGCCCAAAUGGCGAGACGUGUGGCCCACAUUGCCCAAAUGGCGAGAUCGUAUGGCCCACAUGCCCUACUUGAUUUUCCCGUGUGAUCACACAUGGUCUACCUGAAUUGCCUAUGUAAUCACAAACGCCUGUGUGCUCGACACAGCUUGGCACACGACCACCUAGACGCCUAUGUGGUGCACAUAGACAACCACACAUCCAACCACAUGUCUGUGUGACAAAAAAUAGUUUCGAGUUUUGCUCUCUUUUUUUCCAAAUUUUCUUGUGCUAAACAUGGAGGUUUCGAGUUAGAAACACACACAUAAAUUAGUUUUGAUAUAAAUUCACCAAUGAGAACACCUGAACCUAAAAUCAAUAUUCCAAACGUUAAAAUCAGUAAUGAAAUCGCAAACUAAAUCGGUAAAAUGACCAUAAGGACCAAACCAUCGACCAUUUACCCAAUCCAUACAACAAAGUUCAACGAAAGUUAAUUCGUUGGAGCAACGUUAGUCUCGAGAUCUUCACCUAGGACAAAAUAUUUCACAAUGAUUAUGUCCUUGCUGCAAGAAAUAGCCAAAACAUCCAUCAAAACCCUUCAUAAAAACUUAGUACUAAGCAUUUACACAUGGUGUAACGAAAGGUUAAAGUGUGUUGAUACAUAGAACAAAAGAGCAAAAAAGCAAAAUUAAGACCAAGCAGAGAAGAUGCAAAGAAAGAAGAACGUGGAAACCAAAAAAAAAUGGAAGAAAAGAAGGGGAAAAAAACGUGAGAAGAGGGCUAGAGGGAAACAAAAUAAGUGAGUAAACUUUUUGGAAAGAAAAGUUAGAUAAAAAUUCAAAAUAAAAUAUUAAAAGAAAUAUAAAUCUACCCACUACCCCACAACACCCACUAAAUUAGAUACACAUUCUAACAACACUCCUUAAGAAUAAAAAUCCCAUCCAACUUCUUCCACCUAGGUGGCACCCAAAAAAAAAAACAAAAGUAAUUCUAUUUUGCUCAUGCAAGGAUUCGAACAUAGGAUCAAAGGGUAAGUUGAAGCCUUACCACUGAUCCAGCAAACUCAUUCUUGUCAAAACUUGUGCGACAAUAAAAUUUAAGUCAAAAGUUCAAGGAUAAAGAUAGGAGCAGGAAUAGAAAAAAAAUCAAAGAGAAGGAAUCAAACCCAGAACCUCUCACACACGCACAACACACCUAACCCUUGAACUAGAUAAAUUUACUUGGAAAAGUUUUAACAAAUCAAGAACUCAAAUUUUGGGACGUUACACUAUCAAUUUCAUCUACCCCAAAUUCCCAAUUUUAAUAGAAACACUAUUUACUUUAAGUAUUUUUGGUUUCUAAAGUUACAGCUUUAAAGCAUUAGAUUUUUUCUGAGUGUUUACAGUCUAAUGUUUGACUGUAGUUUCUAGAAAUAAUAGUAAUUAAGUUAAGCUCUACAUCGAACUCUUGGAUUUAAUUUCUUUUUGAAGAAAAUAAUUUUUCAAAGGUUUGUGACAUGGAUUUUCCCAAAAUACCCCAUUUUAAUGCAUGCAUGCCGACUUCAUUCAAAAAUCCACAGUCCGAGCCUUGUAAAUCUAGGCUCUGAUACCACCAAAUGUAACCUCCCCAAUCUAGCCUAGACGUUAAGCCUAAAUUCAGAAGAUUACAUUGGUUACUGAAAUGAACCAGUAAAACUGUUGGAGAUUAUAAAAUAGACUCAUUAAAACAUUUGCUUACUUUAGUAGAAUAACUUAGUGUGUUUUCAAAAAGUACAAUCUUUCAAAAACCAAUUGAUUUUAAUGAUUAAUUUUGCAAAAAAAAAAAUAUUUUUAGUUUAUAUGAUUUUUCAAAUCUCAUUUACAUAAAAAUGCAGCAAAAAGUGAUAUUCAAAAUAGUUUUAGUGAAGAAAAACCAGAAUUUUAUGCAUGAUUAAUUAAUAAUUCAUAUUUCAAUAACCUAAAUCAAAAUAAAUGUCAUGCAUGCUAAAUAAACCCUAAACUUAAGUCUCAUGCCAUAGUUCAAAUAAAACAAUAUAGUUUCAAAUAAGAGAAAUGAUAAUAAUAAGUCUUAAAAUAUUUCUAAAAAAUAACUAUCCGAGCCGAGACCUUCUAAAUGUCGAGUUCGUGCCCUAACCUUAUGGGUUAUCUAAAAAGAUGGAAAUUAAAGUAGGGUGAUCUUCUGAAGCUUAGUGUGAGUUCUAUCACAAGAAAAUCAAUGCAAACAGUGGAUGUCGCAUACAAAGAAACAAUUCUCAGAAUAAUCACUUAUUUAGAGUAUCAAUUAUUUAGAUCAACACAUCAAUAUCAUAAUAUUUUAGAAUUCACAGUUUAUGUAUGCACAUGCUCAUAAAUAGCGAUGUGGUUUCAAUUUUUCAAAAUAGUUCCUACCUAACUCCGCUACACACCACAAUAGGGGUUUCCCAAAACUUCUCUACCUAACACCACGCUGUGGAUGAACCACUGGUUAUUGUAGAUGAACUAUUAGUAAUAAAAAUAGUGGAUGAGCCACCAGAGUUUUUGAUAAAAAUUUUGAAGACAAGAUGCUAGUAUGGUGUGGAUAAAUCACUCAUCGGUGCAGAUAAACUAUUCACAAUUUCUCCUUCAUAUCAUCCCACCCCAUGCAAUGCUAUAUGACAUGCUUAUAACAGAUCAAUACGGUAGCAAGGGACAUGCUUAUAACAUAUUAAUACUAUAGCAAUAGACAUGCUUAUAUCAAAUCAAUACGGUAGCAAAAGACAUGCUUAUCAUGUAUUCGGUUCAAUGGUAUCAAAAGACAUGCUGAACAUGCAAUCAGUAAUACGGAUACAAUAGGCAUGUAUUUUACACAUAUCAUGCAUAUAACAGUAGUAAUUUAGUCACUCAGAUCAUGGAUUGCGAUAUAAAUAUUGUUAAAGAUUCAAUUCGGUGAAAAAAAACUCUAAAAAUAGUUUUGGGAAUAUACAUGAAGUAAAUAAAACAAUUCCCAAAAUUUUUGGGAAAAAUUAUAAAAUAGGGGUCACACGGCCGUAUGAGAUGCUAAAGGACAUGUGUAAUGGUUACACGACCGUGUGGAAGGUCGUGUAGAAGGUUCUUGGUCAUGUGUAAAAUGAAGUACCCUAACGUAAUCGUUGAACAUGGUCGUGUGGUGGUCAUGUGGUCUACCUGUGUAGUCCACACGACCGUGUGGGAGAUCGUGUGGCCCUAAACCUGCACACAAUUUUCCUUGAUUCACUUGAUAAAGAAACACACCUUUCUCCGAGAUUCCAAUCGACGUUCCUCAUGCCCGAUUUUGAUCUGUUUCAACCAAAUUCAGUCCUUUAAAUUACAUUUACACAUGAGUUAGCAAUUUAUUUCGAGAUUCGACAAUAUUAAGAAAGAUUUGGCAAGAACCAUAGAAGAUUGUUUAAUCGAAAUUAAGGUUAGCAUUGGAUAGAAAUACUAUGAAAACUCAAGAUCUAAACUUCAAAACAAGAUGUACUUAUCGAUUCUUGACAAGAAUAGGGAUGUCGAUGACAAAAAUUACAAAAUCGAUAAAAAGAAUGAUUGAAUGAAGGUUGAUUUGAUUUGAGAAAGAAAAAUAAUCAAAAAUAAGUAAGAUGAAAAUAUGAUGUAAAGAAAAAGGAAAGCAAAUAAAAAGAAGAGAAAUAGAAAGAUGGAGAGCAAAUUCUAUUAGGAUUUGAAAAGGGACAAUAUGAAAAUCUAAUUACAAAAAGAAGAGAAAAAAAGAUGGUGGAAUUCUAAUUCUAUUGGAAUUUUGAGGAAGGGCAAGGUAUGGAUUUUAAUUAGGAAAGAUUUGGUUAAAUUACUUGGGUGUGUAAAUCCUAGGGGCGACACAUGCAAUUUUCCUAUGUUUUUCUAAACUUGAAAUUGAAAUUGAAAUGAAGGGGGGAGGAGGAGGCAGCUCGAACCUAAGAUCUCUAAGAGUACUAACGCUUUAACCAUUAAGCCUGUUGUUCAUUUUUUAUUUAUUUUAGACACUUAAUCAUAUAUAUAUAUAUAUAUUGGGACGUAUAUGAUGAAAUUACGAAAUAAAAAGGCGAAUGAGGGCUCCAACUGGGGACUUCUAGGAACAGACACUAACACUUAACCAUUAAGCCUUAAGCUCAUUUAUUGUUUAAUCUAAACGCCUAAUCGUAUAUAUAUAUUGAGGUGUGGCAACUAGAUUUUCAAAAAAAAAAAUAUAUAUAUAUAUAUGAGAGAGGGAAGGCUCGAACUUGGGUCUCUAGGGUGGAUCCUCCAACUCUUAAGUUAAUAGGGUCAAAUCUAAUUUUUUUGUCAAAAAAACUGUAAUGUUACGAGAACAGGAUUUGAACCCAUGACCUCAAGGUUAUGAGCCCUCGAGCUACCAAACUGCUCUAUCCUGCGAUGAAAAACCAAACUAAUGGACAAACAAAAAUUGAAUGCGCCCUUUUCCAUAUAUGUACUAAUAGAAUAGCCUAUUUAUACAGAAUAGUAAAGGGGCUCCUCUAUGAUCAUCGAUCAUAGAAAUAAAUAGAAAAAGGAAGGGAUAUUUUAAUCCUUACCAACUUGAUCUUGUUGCCCCCGACAAAAAACAUGCGUGAACCAUUUCAUGAAGUAUGUGUCCGGAUAGUCCAAAGUCUCGAUAGUUAGCUCUCGGUCUUCCGGUCGAAAAGCAACGUUGAUGAAGACGUGUUGGUGCGCUAUUUCGUGGUGAGGAUUGUAACUUUCCAUGAAUUUUCCAUUUCUCACUCAACGACGGAACUUUACUUAUUUCUUUUUUUGAGGAUCGACGAAUCAAAUGAUAUUUUUGUUCCAAUUUUUGCCUCUUCUUCUCCCAAUGAAUCAAACUUUUCUUUGCCAUAAUGGUUCAAUUCCUAUUAUUAUCAAUGAUACAAGUCGGAUCCUAGAUGUAGAAAUAGAAGGGGGCAUACCCCCUUCUCCAUCGAAAGAGAUGAUAUUCUCGCAGAUACAAUGCAUAAAUAAGGAAUUAACCAAAUUUGCCCGAUGUAGAGGCAUUCAAGAAAACUGUAUAAGUAAAUAUAUAACCUACAGAAAAGUGGGCUAAUCCAACCAAUCUUGCCUGCACAAUAGAAAGAGCCACUGGUUUAUCUCUCCAUCGAAUCAAAUUAGCUAGAGGUGUGCGUUCAUGAGCCCAUGCUAAAGUUUCAAUCAAUUCUUGCCAAUAUCCGCUCUAAGAAAUUAAUAACAUAAAUCCGGUAGCCCAAACAAGAUGUCCAAAUAAGAACAUCCAUGCCCAGACUAAUAAACUAUUCAUACCAAAUGGGUUAUACCCAUUGAUAAGUUGUGAAGAGUUUAACCAUAGAUUAUCUCUUAACCAUCCUAUCAAUAAGUGGAAGAUUCAUUAAACUAUGAGACAUUACCCUGCCAUAAUGUGAUGUGUUUCCAAUGCCAAUAAAAAGUAACCCAUCCAAUGGUAUUUAACAUCCAGAAAACCGCCAAAUAAAAUAUGUCCCACGCCGAAAUAUCACAAGUACCCCCUUACCCCGGACCAUCGCAAGGAAAACUAUAACUGAAAUCCUUUUUAUCCGGUAAUAACUUGGAACUGCGCGCAUUUAAAGCGCCCUUUACUAAGAUCAAUGUAGUUGUAUGUAAACCUAGAGUAAUAGCAUGAUGAACCAAGAAGUCUCUAGGACCUAUUGUUAAGAAUAAUGAAUUACUAUUUUCAUUAACAACAUUUAGCCAGCCAGGCAACCAUAUGCUUCGACCUGCAUUGAAUGCUGGGCCAUUCGUUGAAGAUAAAAGCACAUCGAACCCGUAUGAAGUUUUACCAUGAGCAGAUUGGAUCCAUUGGGAAAAUAUGGGUUGGAUCAAGAUUUGUUUCUCCAAAGUCCCAAAAGAAAGCAUAACAUCAUUAUGGACAUAAAGUCCCAAAAUAUGGAAUCCCAGAAAGAGGCUGGCCCAACUUAAAUGGGAUAUGAUAGCUUCUUUAUGGUCUAACAUUCUUGCCAAUACAUUAUCCUCAUUCUGUUCCAGAUUGUAAUCUUUAAUAAAAAAUAUAGCUCCGUGGGCAAAAGCUCAUGUCAUGAUGAAUCUUGCAAUGUAUUGAUGAUGGGUAUAUAACGUAGCUUGAGUAGUAAAGUCUUGUGCUAUGAACGCAUAAGUAGGUAAAGAGUACAUGUGUUGAGCUAUCAAGGACGUAAUAACCCCUAAAAAAGCUAGAGAAAGACCUAAUUGAAAAUGAAUCGAAUUAUUGAUUGUGUCAUAAAGACCUUUAUGCCCCUGCCUCAAUCGUCCUCCCGGAGGAAUAUGUGCAUCUAAAAGAUCUUUUGUAUUGUGACCAAUUCCGAAGUUAUUUCUAUACAUGUGACCCGCUAUUAGGAAAAGAAUUACAAUAGCUAAAUGAUGGUGUGCAAUAUCAGUCAGCCAUAAACUUUACGUUUGUGGAUGGAAUCCCCCGAGAAGGGUUAGAAUGGCAGUUCCUAGUCCUUGGGAGGUACCAAAUAAAUGACUACUUGAAUCGGGGUUUUGAGUAUAAAGAUUCCAUUGACCUGAAAAAAAUGGGCCUAACCCUUGGGGAUGCAGUAAUACAUCUAAGAAAUUAUUCCAUCGAACAUAUUCUCCCCGGGAUCCAGGAAUAGCGACAUGGACUAAGUGCCCUGUCCAAGCCAAGGAACUUACUCUGAAUAAUCCUAGAAAAUGAUGAUUGAGACGAGAUUUGACAUUUUUGAACCACGAAACGCUUGGUUUCCAUUUCGGUUGUAGGUGUAACCAACCCGCUAUUAAGGAUAAAGCAGAAAGAAAGAAUAGAAAAAUGGCUACAGUAUAAAAAUAUUCAUUAGUACAUAACCCGAUUGUAUACCGCCACUGAUAAACACCAAGAGUGCCCCCUCUAGUAAAAGCUUCCACCGCCGAUUGACCAAAAUGAGGAUCCCAAAUUGCAUGAGCAAUCGGCCUUACAUGUAAAGGGUCUUGUACCCAUGCCUCAAAAUUUCCUUGCCAAGCUACAUGAAAUAAAUUUUCGGAAGUCCACAGAAAAAUUAUUGCUAAUUGCCCGAAGUGAGAAGAAAAAAUAUUUUGAUAAAGACAUUCCUUAAUAAUAUCAUCAUGACUCUCGAAGUCAUGUCCGGUAGCAAUACCAAACCAAAUACGAUGUGUAGUGGGGUCCUGGACUAAUCUUUGGCUAAACUUUGGAAAUUUUAAUGUCAUAAUGCCUUUCAAAUCCUCCUAGCCAUUAUUCUAAUGCAAUAAUUCUUGCUAAGAAGAAUGCCCAUGUUGUUGCAAUUCUACCCAAAAGGUAAUGGGUUACCCCUACAGCACGUCCUUGUACAAUGCUUAAGGCUCUAGGCUGAGUAGAAGGAGAAAUAUUUAAUUUAUUAUAGCCCAAAUGAUGGAUUCAAUAAGUUCUUGCCAAUAACCACGUCUGCUGAAUAGAAAUAUUAAACUAAAAGCCCAUACAAAAUGAGCACCUGAGGAAAGAAGGCCAUAUACAGAUAAUGAAGAACCAUAAGACUGAAUUACCUAGGAUGCUUGUGCCCAUAAGAAAUCACGUAGCCACACAUUAAUAGUAAUAGAACUCUGUGCAAAAUUUCCUCCUGUGAUAUGAGUUACCACCCCUUGAUCACUUAUAAUACCCCAAACACCUGACUGCAUUUUCCAAUUGAAAUGGAAUAUUACUACCGAAAUUGAAUUGUACAUCCAGAAUAGUCCUAAGAAGACAUGAUCCCAAGGGAAUACUUGACAUGUCCCCCCUCUUCUAGGCCCGUCAUAAGGGAAACAAAAAUCGAUAUUUGCUUUAUCUUGUAUCAAAUGCGAGCUGCGAGCAAAUAGAACACCUUUCAAGAGUAUCAAUACCGUCACAUGAAUCAUAAAUGCAUGAAUGUGAUGGACCAAAAAAUAUUCGGUUCCUAAUGGAAUAGGUAACAAAGUAACUUUUCCCCUUACUACCACUAAAUCACCUCCUCUCCAGGUCAAACUGGUGCUCGCUAUUGCACCAGGAGCCAUUGCACCGAGUGCUAGCGUAUGGGUGUUUUGUAUCUAUUGAGCAAAGACGGGUUGUAAUUGUAUAGCGGUAUCUGAAAACAUAUCUUGUGGAUGCCCUAAAGCGCUCAUGGUAUCAUUAUGAAUAUACAAACUAAAACUGUGAAAGCCUAGAAAUAUACAUACCCAGUUGAGAUGUGAUAUGAUUGCAUCACGAUGCCUAAGGACACGAUCUAAUAGAUCGUUGUAUCGAGUAGUUGGAUCAUAGUCACUUACCAUAAAAAUGGCUGCAUGCACAGUGGCACCCACUAUCAGAAAUCCACCAAUCCACAUGUGUGUGAACAAUAACAGUUGUGUGCCAUAGUCAGUAGCUAGAUAUGGAUAAGGGGGCAUGGAAUACAUAUGGUGAGCUACAACAAUGGUUAAAGAGCCCAACAUAGCUAAGUUAAGAGAUAAUUGAGCAUGCCAUGAUGCGGUUUGGAUUUCAUAUAGUCCUUUAUGCCAUUGGCCUAUAAAUGGACCUUUAUGAGCCUCUAAAAUAUCUUUUAGGAUAUGCCCAAGGCCCCAGUUGGUCUUAUACAUGUGACCCGCUAUUAGGAAAAGAAUUGCAAUAGCUAAAUGAUAGUGUGCAAUAUCAAUCAACCAUAGACCUCCAGUCACUAGAUCUAAUCCUCCACGAAAAGUAAGAAAUUCUGCAUAUUUUGACCAAUUCAAGGUAAAAAAUGGGGUUGCUCCCUCGGCAAAACAGGGAUAAAGUUGAGCCUAAUAUUCUUUUAUUUUUUUUCAAUAUUUUUAAUCGUAUAUUUAUUUUGGGGUGACUUUACCCUAAGUUGCGGAAAAUGAUAAAAUGGGAAGAGGGAGCUCAAACCUAGGACCUCUAGCGAUAGCUACAAUACUUAACCACUAGGCCCGAUACUCAAUUUUGUUUAAUUUCUUACAACAUGUACUCUUAAAAUGAGGCAUGACACUAGCUAGGGUUUCGAGCAAAAUUGUACAAAAUAAAAUUAAUGCAAUGGAAGGGAUUUUAACCUAGGUUUCAUGGUCUAGUUCACUAAUCACUUAACCAUUAAACCAGUAAAUUUCUUAUUUAACGAACACACAAUGAUAUUAGAAAUCAGGGUGUGACCACUCUCGAUUUCACAAACCCUGAUUCUUCUAACCCUAUUUUUGGGAUGUGAUGAUUUCAAAUUACUUUUUAAAGCCCUUUUCACAAUAUUGUUGUUGUAUGAGCACAUUAGAUAUUUCAAUCAUAACAAGUGUUAGAAAGUAUUCAUUUUCAAUUGAUCAAAUCAUUCUUUCAUAUUUUUAUGCAAUUUAAGAGUCAAAAGGAUCUUUUGCAAUUAGAUAUUCGACUUUUAAUCCUUCAUGUAGAUGAUGUUGGAGAAAAACAAUAGUUUUUGCUUUAUCUAUAUAGAAAGCGAAAUUCGUUUAUACUCACAAAUCAUGUGUGGCUCUAUUUUAAAUAAUCUAAUAGGUAAAAUAGUACAUUUGGUAAAGGUCACCAAAUAAAAUAACAUUUUUAAAAAUGACUACAAUUUUUUAAUCAUAUCAAUGGCAUAUGUUAUGAAAGAUAUACAUAUUUAAGCAAAAAUAAGCAUAUCAUGAAAUAUAUAAAAUAUAAAUUGAUACUUAAAUACGAAAAAAAAAAUGAGCAUCAUUUUUAACUUUCUUUUUUCAUUAAGAAGAUUGAAAUCUCAAAAUCUUUCAAGCUCGCAAAGAAAAUCACAUACCUUAGGAUUGUUGCUUCAAUUAGGACGUUGUACGUCUAGGUUACUUGUUUUCGAACAUAAUAUUGAAUACUAUCGAGCAAGCUCGUGCUAAUAACGUGUUGUAAAAUAAUAGAAGGAAAUAACAAACUAAAGAGAAGUAUCAAUACAAAGAGGUAAUACAAUAGAAAGAUAAACGAGUGAACUUUUUAUUUCAUUCCUUGUGUAUCUCUACAAGCUUUGUACAUACCUCUAUUUAUAGACCUUCUAACAUAAUACAAUCCAUUAAGUUACAAAGGAUAAAUAUAGAUUUAAUUACAAUAUAAAACCCUAAUAAUUCCAAUGGGGUUACUACAAAGGAGGAUACAACUUUGAGAGUUAUGAGCAUUCAUAAUAAAGUAAUAUUUAUAACAUUAUUAAAAUAAUUUUUUUUUUAAAAAACCUCCAAUGGAUUUAAAAUAAUUAUUUUGAAUAUUCUCAUUAUAGGUUCUGAUCAUAUAUGUUCUUUUUGACAUAAUGCCUAGAAUUGCCCAUAGCCUCUCCUCAAUCCAUAAAUAGGAGGAUAAUAUGCCUCAGCACACUCGAAACCCCAUCCUCUUGAAGUGGCACUAAUGCGCAUGUCUAUUGAGCUAAAACUCAAACGACAAGUUUAAUACAAAUUUUAAUAGAAUCGCGAUGUGGCAUGCAUAUCGACCGCUUAAAUAGAAUUUGAAAAAGAAAAAACUUAAUAUAAAAAACUAAAAAUAAUUAAUAAAUUAAACUUUUAGUUUUUUUCUAAGUUGAGUACAAAUAUUAAAUUGAUUCAUAGAAUACCUUGCUUAUAAUUUUUUAAAUACAUCAUUUUAAAAUUAAUAUCUAAAUGUUUUUUUUAGUCAUUAUCAGUCCUAAAUCAACUUCUAACUUAUGAUUUAUCUUAUAAAUCAAUCCCUUUAAAAUAUUAUUCUAGAAACUAAAACAAUUAAAGCAAAAACAAUAUUAUAAACUAUAAUACAAUUAAUAAAAAUAUUAAUCAUUAAAUCUAUAUAGCUAUUUUUAUUUUUUUAAUUUUAAAAUUAUAAAUAUAAUUUCAAUUUUACUAAAUUAAUUUUUAAACCAUUAUCAGUUUUAAAUGAUUUAAUAAAUUUCAUUCAUUCAUUUUUUAUUCCCGCUAUCAAAUAUAUAAUUCUUACAAAUUUUUUUAUAUACAUAAAAAAUAAAAAUAAAAUUUACAUUUAAUAAUAUUAUCAUAAUGUCACCCCAAUUUGCUACACUUAUACAAUUAAAAAUAAAAUAUUUCAUUAAUUGAAUUCUUGAAAAUAUGAUAAAUUUUCAAAUUACUUUUGAAAAAUAAGAAUUUAAGUUUAAACAAUAACUAUAAAUAUAUAAAAUGGAUACUCAAUUUGAACAUCAAAACUUUUUUCUUAUGGGUAAUUCAAUUUUUAGUAAUUAAUUUAAAUAUACAAAAUGUUUGAAUUAAGGUCACCAAUCAUUCUUUGAUUCAUAUUCACAUAAAUUAUAAAUCAAUAAAAAAGACUUAAAUAUUCGCAUAUGUAAUAUAUAAACCCUCAAAAUCAUACAUCGAAGGGUGCCGAAUAUUUAACUUAUUAUUAAACAUUUAAUGACUAUAUAUAUUUAUAUAAAUAAAAGCAUAUAUUGUCUUGGAUUAUUGUUUUAGGUAUAAAUUGUUUUAAAUCAAAUUAUUGUUAUGGUCGGGUAAAUUUGGGAUUUAAUCACUAUAUUUUAAAUUGACAUAAUUUGGUAUCUCUACUUUUAUAUAUUGGUUAAUACAAAUACUUAACACCCUUAACUAUUUUGGUUAAAAAUGUUUACAUGGAUGUUUUUUUUCUUCUUAAAACCACAAAUUCUAACUCAUCUUGUUGAAAUAUAUAAUUUUCAUGUUAGAAUGAUAUUUUAAGUGAUUCACUUUAGCAUUCUAAUUGAAAUAGUUAUUGAUAUUAACUAUUUGGACUAAUAAAUGACAUUAUAGAAGUAAGGUAAUUAAAUUAUGUCUCAUUAAAGUGUAAAUACUAAAUCUCAAAUUUAAACAUAGUAGAGGCACAAAAGUGAAAUUCAAUCAUUAUCUUAUAAACAAAAAUUAUUUAUGUUUGGGGGAGCAAAACUCGAUUCGACUCGAAAAAAUCGAAUUUUUUUUUGAAUUUUGAGUUAAACAAAUCGAGUUAUUCGAGUUUUGAGUUAAACAAAUCGAGUUAUUCGAGUCAACUCGAAUUUCUUUUUUCGAAUUUCAAGUUCAAAUUAGGUUUAAUUUUCGGAUUCGAAUAACUCAAAUAAUUUGAAUAUGCCAAAUAUCAAACUAUAAUAUUUUAUAUUUUUAUCCCAAACCCCAAAAUUUUUUACUUUCUCCCAAAAUUUGUACUCCCUCCCAUCCCAAGCCCCCAUCUACGACCAAUUUACCAAUAAAAGCUUAAUUUUUUAUAAAUUUACCGAAAUGGGCCCAGUAUUUUAUUAUUUACCGAAAUGGGCCAUUUUCUGGCAAAUCGCUUCCAUGUCACCGCGAUGUCAGGGGACGUGCCAGGAAAUCGCGGCCACGUCAGUGCGCUUUGCUGACGUGGCCGCGAUUUCCUGACGUAGUGCGUUACGGGGGACGCGAUUUGCCCGUUUUUCCCACGUUAGGUUUUUAGAUUUUAUGGUUUAGGGUUUUAGGGUUUUGGAGAAAAAAGUAAACAAAUAAGUCGCACCCAUGUGUAAGCACUUUUGCUAUAGUAGGUCCUGAAAAAAUAAUUUUGAGUUUACGUUUCUGAGCACAUAGUAUAAAAUCGCUUCUAGCAGGAUGCUGUGUGAUAAGAAUUUGUGAAAUCGCGCCCUCGUGGAUGCGGUUUUGCUACAGUAGGUCCUGGAAGAAAUAACUUCGACUUGAUGUUUCUGAGCAAAUAGUAUAAAAUCGCUUCUAGCAGGAUGCUAUUUGAGAAGAAUUUGUGAAAUCGCACCCUCGUGGACGCGCUUUUGCUACAGUAGGUCCUGGAAGAAAUAAUUUUGACUUGACGUUUCUAAGCAAAUAGUAUAAAAUCGCUUCUAGCAGGAUGCUAUUUGAGAAGAAUUUAUGAAAUCGCGCCUUCGUGGACGCGCUUUUGCUACAGUAGGUCCUGGAAAAAUAAUUUCGACUUGACGUUUUUGAGCAAAUAGUAUAAAAUCGCUUCUAGCAGGAAGCUAUUUGAGAAGAAUUUGUGAAAUCGCGCCCUCGUGGACGCGCUUUUGCUACAGUAGCAUGUUUGGGCUGAGGCUAUAAAUUAGGCAGAAAAUUUUCUCAGAAUGCAUAAGUCAUAGUAGAAAUAAUUUAGAGAGGCUAAGAAGGUUAGAGUUUCAAAUAUGAGUGAACGUAUUAGUGCUGUUAUUUACAACGAUGGUGAGGUUUGCCACACAGAGAAUGGUGUUAUUUUUUGUCGGAGAAUAUGGUGCGACUGGUUUUUAACCAGAACAUAGAUUUGACAGAACUUCGUAAAAGAAUAAGGCGUAAAAUUUUCGGAACGACGCCAAUGAAAGUUCUGUCUAUUACGUAUCAAUUCUAUUCUUCUAUUGAUCCGGUGACAUAUGACUCGUUUGACAUAAAAGGUGCUCGUAGCUUGGAGGCAAUGGUGCAGACUCAUCUUGCUAGUGGAGCACCUUAUAUUGAGUUAUAUGUACAAUUUACAUCGCUAAAUGAUGUACUUGCGACCGGUGUUUGAGAUGUAUACACGACCCCUGGCCGACAUUCGGUUAGCAGGUUAUAAAAUACGGAACAACCCAUGUUUGGUAGCGAUGUUGAAUGCACGUCCCCCGCAAGACACUCUGUCGGUGGAUGGGACAUGUACGUCGAAAGUUCGAUGUUUGAUGCUAGAAAUUCGUACUGGGGAACGGCAUCAAGUUCUAGUGGUUGGCAAUCUACAUCCAAUUGGGGAUGUUAUGAAAUACCUAGAAGAAGGGAUCAUGUACUCCCUACGACGUCAACCGGUGAGGGGACCUCGUACGCUGUAGAUGAUUGUGAGUUAGAAGAUGACUCCGAUGUGGAUCCACCUCGAGAGUCCGGGCCCGAUGGUGUAGAAGUUGGCUUAUUUUCUGAACCAGAUCCUGUUCUAACAGAACCUGAAGAUGCUGAAAGGAGUUUAGAUGAAGAAGUAAAUCCACGAUUCAGAGCAUACUCACCUCUAGCCCACAUGCAUAAUGUCGAUCUAUCUGCAGAUGAUGGGUUAGAAUUUCCAGAUCUACCACACCGGUUGCGUGAUCGUACAAGUUCAGGGCUAGAUUCGGGUGAAUUUGAAGUUGGUAAUCAGUUUACCAACAAGGAUAGUUUUAUUGGUACUUUGAAACAACAUAGCAUCAAAAACGGCGUUAACUACCACGUCGUUAAAUCCAAUCUGAUAAGUUUGAGGCGAAGUGUGCAGUGCAAGACGUCACAUGUUCAUGGAAAAUCUACGCCUCGUUAAGGAAAAGGAUAGAUUUGUGGGAGAUUAAAAAGUACAAAGGUCCACAUACAUGUGCUACAUGUACAGUAUUAACGAUAUCUGAAUAAUACUUUUAUUAUGUAAUGUUGCAUUAUUUAAUGUACUCCGUUUAUAGGUGUUUCACAAGAUCAUCCCAAGAUGAAUUCAGCUAUGUUAGCUAGCUUGAUACUGCCCACGGUGAAAGUAAAUCCUAAGACUUCAGUGUCGGUGUUAAUUACCAAUAUCUGUAGCCAAAUGGGGUACACACCCUCUUACCGCAAGGCUUGGAUAGAUAAGCAAAAGACGUUGUAGAAUAUGCAUAGUGGGUGGGACGCCUCAUAUAAUGAUAUAUGGCAGUGGUGUCAAGUGCUAGAGAGAUACGUCCGGGGUGCCAUCACAGACCUUGAAACGGAACAUGCGUACUACAACGACAGAUUGCUACAUGGAUGCCAAGUGUUCAAACGCCUAUUUUGGACCUUUAAGCAAUGUCGAGACGCAUUUCCAUACUGCAAGCAAUUGGUACAAAUUGGCGGUACCUUUAUGUUUGGUAGGUAUACUCAUCGGCUAUUGCUUGCAGUGGCACAGGAUGGCGGUGAGAGAAUUCUUCCAAUUGCAUUUGCAAUAACACGUGGGGAGUCAUCUGAUGACUGGGAUUUCUUUCUCUCUGGGUUAAGGAGGCAUGUGUGCCCCCAACCUGAUAUUUGUGUUAUUUCAGAUCGGGGUGCCGGUAUACUAGCUGUAUUUGAUCGACAGGGAAGCUUAUGGCAGCGCACACACCAUUGAUAUUGCCUAAGACACGUUGCUUCCAACUACUAUAGGUAAUAUCCAUCUAAGAGCGAACGAUGACAAGUGACCAACAUGGGUAUUUAGUCCAUAUAUGUGUUAUUUCGUUUGUCAAUUUAAAUUAGUUUUAUUGGUAGAAGUGGUAUGUAAUAUUCGCUAUGAACUUAUAUUGGCAGGAUAUGAAAUAAAUAAAGACUGUUUUCACGAGAUGUUGGCAGUUUUACGUUCAAUUAACGGAGAAGGGGCGGACUACCUUUGUAACAUACGUUUCGAACAGUGGGCACAAGCAUACGACGGCGGGCUACGAUAUGGCCAUAUGACGUCAAACCUGGCUGAAUGCAUAAAUUCUGUUCUUAAAGGAACGCGUCAUCUACCGAUAACAUCAGUUGUGCGAGAGACAUAUUUUCGUUUGGCGGUGCUAUUUCCAAAGCGAGCAGCAAGUUAUGCAGGCCAGAUGCAGGGAGGCCAUGUAUGGUGCAGUAAGGUAGUUCAAGAAAUUAACAAGGCCAAGGCGCGGGCAAACACCAUGCACACAGUGUGUUACAAUUGAGACAACUUAUGGUUUCGCGUCACAGAGUUUGACAGACCGCACCAAGGUGUUGUUGGCGGGCAAUAUCGUGUACACUUGCGAAAUAGGACUUGCGACUGUGGGCUGUUUGAUGCACUUCGUUAUCCAUGCGCGCAUGUUAUUGCAGCUUGUCAGAAUCUCCGUCUGGAUUCGAUGAGUUAUGUGGACAAAGUGUACAAAUUAAAAAACAUGUACAACAUCUGGAGACACGUUUUCCCACCGGUCCCAGAUGAACGUAAGUGGCCGCCCGUAUCUCUUGCUCCUUUUAAGCUAUUACCGGAUAGAGAAUUGCAUCGCAAACCAAAGGGUCAACCUUGCUCGACUAGAAUAUGCAACAAUAUGGAUAUCCGAGAAACUGCCAGUUAACAGAAGUUGUGCGGAUGGUGUAGGAAUCCAGGCCAUACAAGUCGAUCAUGCCCUAAUCGCAAUAGUUGAAUGUAAUUGUAAAAAAAUUAUAUUUGUAAAAUUAUUAAUUGAUAAAUUGUAUUAAUGGUUAGUAAAAUUAUCAAAUUAUAUCAAAUUAUUAAUUGUUAGUACCAGUCAAAACAUUUUUCCAAAUUUAACAUUAUGUGAAUGUAAAAUUAUUAACUGAUAAUUGUAUUAAUGGUUAGUAAAAUUAUCAAAUUAUAUCAAAUUAUUAAUUGUUAGUACCAGUCAAAACAUUUUUCCAAAUCUAACAUUAUGUGAAUGUAAAAUUAUUAACUGAUAAUUGUAUUAAUGGUUAGUAAAAACCUUAAGGUUUUUAAGUUAAGGGUUUAGGGUUUUAAGUUAAUGUUUUAGGGUUUUAAGUUAAGGGUUAGGGUUAUUAAGUUAAUGUUUAGGGUCUUUAAUUUAAGGGUUAGGGUUUUUAAGUUAAGUGUUAGGGUUUUUAAUUUAAGGUUUAGGGUUUUUAAUUUAAUGGUUAGGGUUAGGAUUUUUAACUUUAAGGUUUAUGGUUUUUAAGUUAAGGGUUUAGGAUUAUUAAUUUAAGGGUUAGGGUUAUUAAGUUAAGGAUUAAGGGUUUUAAGUUAAGGGUUUUGGGUUUUUAAUUUAAGGGUUAUGUUUAGGGUUUUUUUGUUAAGGGUUUAAGGUUUGUCAAUUAAAUUAUAUAUUUAAUUAUAAAUUAUAAAUUUUUAUAAGUUAAGGGUUUAGGGUUUUUAAGUAAUAACUCAAAAAAAUUCCUAUUUUAUUACAUAAAAAAAUAUCAAAAUAUUCAAAAUAUUUGUACAAAUAAAUUUAAAUACAAAAAUCAAUGUCUGUGCCCACGGGAUUUAGUGCCACAUGGCGGCCGUCGACGGUUACGCGCUGGAUUCCUCCUUUGUCCAGCUUCUGGCGGCGGUUGUGGUUCUUCCGGCGAGGAUUCUGGUUCUUCAAGUAAGGCAUUUGGUUGUCAGAGUUGGGACGAUGAGUCACCUUGAUAGAUUGUGAAUGUUGAGGUGUUUGCAUCACCAACGUCGACGGUGUUUGAAACCCAUACGGUGGUGGGGAUUGGUAAAAAGAAGAGCUCCCCGGCGGCCCCUCUUGCGAUCCCUCGUGCGUCGCUGGCCUAUACAUCAGCGGUCCACUCGGCGUAACAGGAAAUGGAGCUGAACUGGGCCAUUGGCUCCAACCUGCCCUAGGACUCGGAAAAGGAAACAUAUAAUGGUUAGGAUACAUAAAAGGGCUAGGAAACGCACCUGGCAUCAUCUGAAAAGGCGGUUGCGUGGGUAUCAUCGGUUGAACUGCUGGGUCGGGUGACUAUGUCUGUGCUCCCGCUGGGCCUGGUGAUUCUAUGGGCGCUGAUGAUGGGCUGGGCGAAUUUCUGGGCAUAGUUGAUUGGCCUGCAUCGUCGUCCCUUCUUCUUGGAUUUAAAGGGCAAUGCCGUUCCCUUUGGUUACGUAAUUGCCGCUGCCUCUCCUCUGGCGAUAGUAAAUACGGCUUGCCAUGGAUCCUGAACCACGGCAUGUACUCCGGUAUGCACGCUAACUCCGGAACGAUGAUCGGUUCCCUAUUAGGUAUAUAAGCAUAUUGAUCUUCCCACAUUUCAAUGAACUCGGAGCAGAAUCUCGGCCAAUCCGUAUUCAAUUGCAGAAGGUCAAUUUUGUGGUGAUCGUCAAACACCUCAGGUUCCACGGGAAUCAGUUGUCUACAUCCAAAUUGCCGUAACACCCUGUCUGACUGGUACAUCUCCACGGUCGCGUAGUUGAUCAACGCGACUUUCACGUGCCAAGCGUUCGGAUUUUGUAAGAACUCUUCCGGAAUUACUGCCCGAAUUGUCGAAACCUCGUAUGGUGUUCAUUGAAACUAUAUGAACAUGAUAAAAAUAUUAGUUAUAUACAUAAUACUAAAUACUAAAUACUAAAUACCAAUCGACUAGCAAAUGA